rnacentral:lncRNA from 1 species
GAGAUCUUAAUUGGCCACUCCUCUUAUAAAAAUAAGCACCGGCUUGGGUCAUUUGACUAUAAGCACCUCGCACAUUAUACAAAGGCCUUAGAUGCGGGUCUCUAACGACGUUGCACAAGCCCAUGACUCGUGACACAAACAGAUCCAUCCAAUCUGAAAAUAUAUAUCUCUCACUUCAGCUCCACAGGUACCAAGUGCAUCGGUAUGUAUAUAGUUUCUCUACUUGUCUUGUUCUUUCCCCCGCCAAAAAACACACACACACUAAGGACUUGCUUCUACAGGCCACAGAGCAACAAAACUGCAUCCGCCAUGAGCUCCUGUGCUCAGUGACCAAGCCUAGGCCACACACGCGGGUCGCCAGCAAGAGGUGUACAUGUCCUCCUCAUCAGGCUCAUCUCAUGUGCCACUUGACCAAGUGCCGGUGAGUGAUGUAUCUGGAAAAGAACAACACAAGAUACCCUGGUAAGAGUUCACGAAACACAUCGAUGCAACAGAUGGGAAACAUUCGAGGUACCAUCUAUAACUUCCGAACAAUGAGCUUGCGUCGUUAGCAUCAUCGAAGUCAGCCAGUCAAUGCAUCAUUCAGUUUAGAAAAAACUGGUCGUGCUAUGUGUUUGGUUUCACUUCACUAGGUGCCCAAAGCAGAAAGAUUCCACAUACAGUUUGCUGCUGUGCAGGGCAGCAAAAGGGACUGAAAAUACCGCGAUUCUUAUUUGACUCAAUCAACAGUGUUCAUUUUGUGAGUUCCUGAGGAGCAACCACUCCAAAGAGUAGCAUCGUUUUGGGUGUCAAAAAGGUUGUGUUACCCAGCCUAUGAAGAACUCCUUUUCGGACCUUGGGCGGGCUCACCUUCUUCUGAAUCCAAUGGAGGAUCCCCAUCUUUAGAAAACCUUGAAAGCUCUUGAGCUUUCUACAGGCCUUUGGCACGUGCAUCCGAGAGCUGCUUAGUGCAUCGAUCUGUUUAUUCAGUUCAAUUCAGGAUUAGAGAAAGAAGACCAACCACUUUGCAAUGUGAUAAAACGUCAGGAGAAAUCAGGAGGUUAACUGGUGAGAUUGGAAAAGGUAAAUAACCUGCGAAAUAACAACUGGUUCCGCAUGGGCUUUGAGAGGAAUAAUUAUUCUUCAGUCCUCUUUCUACUUACACCAUUGAUUACAAUCCCCAGGCCUCUUGUCUGUAAGAACAAAAACCAGAAGUCAGCUGAGACAAGUAGCUACAAACAGCUUCCAGUAUUUCUUCCAUCUUAAAUGUUGUAAAGCAGUGGCCUUUGACGUUCGCAUUAGCAACCCAACUGCUUCAGGAAUUAAAGCAAGAUAUGGUAGGAACAGAAACAAGAUGAUAGUCUCAUAUUUCAUCUGAAAACAAACUGACCUUAAGCUCUCACAGAUAGGCUUGCCAUAAACAGAGAAAUGACCUAUUUAGCUUUCGUCAAGCUAACUCCUGAAGAGACAUUGAUUUACAGUGUCCAUCUCACAUGAGAGACAAGCAUGAUAUUACCUAUGUAAACCCUAAAAGAGGCACUUUGGCUGCAAGCAAGUACACCCCCAAGAGUAAGAGGCUGGACAAUAAGGGAAUAAUGCCAAGGGUAAAUACAUCUGUCACAGUCAACCAAAGCUCAUUCAGAUGAGUGUAAGGCCGUAAGAAAAAUGUGAGAAUCGUUCUACGUUUGAGCCAGCCAACAAGACAUCGAUCAGUUUCAGACUUGAUGUAGUGAAAAUUAGAAAUAAGACGAAUUACAGAAUGGGAGAUAAAAUGUAGCUUGGUUAUUCAUUUUCUUAUCCGAAUUCCUGGUACACCCUUUAACCCCAUCUUCAAGGCGGUUUUCCUAAACAACGACGGAGGCUUUUCCAUGCCGAUAGAGACGCCGAACCUACUAGCCAGGUCAGCAAGCAUGACUUUGUCUCUGCUAAUAUCAGCUAUCGAGUUAUAGUAACCAAGCCAUGCAUGGUAUGCGGCUUCCUUGAUGCUCAUGUCAACAAUCUUGAUCGAAUCAUCAACCUGCAGUACCAGAAAAUUCAGGAAAAUAAUCAGGCGAGAAUGUAUGCAUAUAACGCCGAAAUACAAAAUAUGAACAAGUACGCCGAGUCAAACCUUUUGUUUCAUCUCCUGGUCAAUCUGUGGCACAGGAGCCUUCUGUAUUGGAAGAUCAUGUAUCUCCUUCAAGAAAUACUCUUCCCAUGGCGCAAUCAACAGAAUUCCUUUCCCGGAUUUACCUUCCCUUCCAGUCCUUCCAAGACGAUGAAUAUAAUGCUCUCUACCAGGAGGAACACCAGCCUAAUACAAUCACAAUGUGCGGUUAGAGCAGCAAUGGUGAAGACAACCAUGCAAAGUAAUGCCAUUAAAGAGAUAGCUGCCACUCCUGCAGUUGCUUUAGUCUAGGCAGAUAAAUGUUCUUGCUCAGAAACUUCCUCAGCUGUAUUAACCAUCAAAAGGAAAAGAAAUUCUACCUGAAUCACUAGGGUAACGUCUGGAUAAUUCACUCCACGUGUUGAAACAUCUGAUGUUACCAGAAUCAGGCGAUUGGAAUCCCGGAACUCUUCAGAAAUACGUGUUCUAUAAAGCUGGGGCUUUCUUGAAUGUAUCUCUCUGACGUUUAGCUUCAGAACUCGAAGCAUUAUAUACAUAAAUUCAGUCACCAUGGCAGUUGUGCAGAAAACUAUCACCUGCAUGCAAUGGAAAGACAUUAGUGAUUUAAGAAAUUGCAAAUUUACCAGCAAAUCAUACUGCUUGAUCAAGCGAUGUGGGCAGAGGAGGGAGGACCUUAUAGUCCACUUCCUGAUCAAUAUGCUCUCGAAGAAGGUGGUGAACCAUAUGAAAGUGCAGUUCAUGUGGUACCACAAGAUAUUGCUGUUGUACCUAAGCUCAAGAACAGAAGACAUUAAGGGAUCAAUAUUCUACCACACACAAAACAAUCCAUAACAGAAAGGCUAUUACAGAAUCAUACUCCCUCCAAUCCAUAUAAACUAAAUCAGCAACAAUUGUACUAAAUCAGCAACAAUUAAUAUGGAUCGGAGGGACAAAUAUUUUACUUUCAGAUCAAAUUCGUUCAGAAGUGCUGCUUGUGUUAUCAUACAACGUGACAUUUGGUAUAAAUGUUUAUGUGAAUGUCGACAUCUUUUGCAUGACAAACUUCCAAUGAAAGCUGAACAACGUGUAAAGCUCUAAACAGCUAAAUGGGGUCCUUUUCUUAAGUAGAAUGAUGCAAUAGAACACCAUGGCAUCAGCACAUCAACUGCCUUAUCCAAAAAUAAAAUAAAAACACAUCGACUGCCUACAUCUGGUAAGGGAAAUGCAAAGUGAGAAUGUCAACCGUAACACUCUUUACUUGCAGAAGCCAGAAUGAAACAAGUGCUUUGCAGCCACUAAUGGAAGAUUAUUCUGUUUGUCAUUGGUGCCAAAUAUUACUUGAGUAGGAGUAGAAAUAGAAACCUUAGUAGGAGUUUCAACAGCCCCCAAGCCCACUGUAUCAACAAAAACAUGAUCCUUGUUUAAAACCAUCUGUGAAACCCUUCGAACCUGCCAAUAAAGAAUGAGAACCAUCAUUCCCAUUUUCAGACCAGUGGGUGUCCAUAAAGAAGGUAAACUACAGAUUAUAUGAUACAAGAAAGGCACUCAUGCUACAGGCUAUGCUGACUACAUUACCUCUUUUGGAACAGUAGCUGAAAAUAGUAGUGUCUGUCUUUGGCGUGGCAAGCUAUCAGCAAUCUUCUCUAUGUCUUUGCGAAAACCCAAAUCUAGCAAGUGGUCAGCUUCAUCCAACACAAGCAAUUUCAAUCCCAUCAAGCGGACAGAGAAUGAAGAUCUGUUUUCAAUAUGAUCCAGCAGCCUACCAGGUGUUGCCACUAAAAUCUGCAAAGGGAAAACUCCCACCAUAUAUAAGUCUACCCAGCAGUUAGGAGUUUAGACUUGAUCUUUAGUAGCUCAGUAAAUGCUACAAACCUGGCAUGGAUCGGACUCUAACCGUCUUUGAUCAAGCUUGAAUCUAGUGCCACCAAUAAGAGACUGAACACCCACUCCAUGAUGGUACUUCACCAAAACAUUCGCCUCAGCUGUAACCUGGACGGCAAGCUCUCUUGUAGGGCAUAGAACAAGGGCAAAUAUUGGAGACACUCGAUGAUUUGUAUGGCUCUUCAUGGCAUUCAAGACUGAUUCAAUUGCAGGAAGCUGUUUAUCAAUUCACUGCUUUUAAUAAAUUGGUUGAAGGGCAACAAAACCGAAAGGAACAAAUCCCAAAGUAACUAACUUCUUGCAAAUGAACAUUACCAGAAAAGCUACACUUUUGCCGGUUCCAGUUUUGGCCUUGACAAGAACAUCUUUACCUGCAUUUAGACAUUGAUGAGUGAGGAGCAAUCCCCUGAUCGUUGCAAGGUUUCGGUGAUAGCAUCUUCAGAUAGUUCAUGCACAGCCAAAAUGGUACUACUGGAGUCAAGUGCUAAAUACAAACUACUGAAGUCAAGCAACACGUCCCAUAAUAUUACCGCCAAAAGGUUGUGAUUCUUUCCCCGUGAUUCAGGAAAUUCGUUCACGAGGAAAGUGAAAUAAGAUAUAAUACCUUCGAGACAAACUGGAAGAGUUGCUUCCUGGACAACAGUUGUCUGUAUAUAUCCAGCAUCAGUGAGUGCUUUGACAGUAAGUGGGGAGAUGCCACACUCAUCGAAUCUGAAGAUAAAACAAGAACAUGACUUGUGAUGCCAACUCAUCAAAUCUAAGGAAAAAAGAAAUAUCAUAACUUGUCAAUAAGAUGGGCAUAAUCACUAUUGCAGUGUAGGAUGGAGUGUGAUUUGAAGAAGUUAAUUCACCGAUCAUUCAUUAAUCUUGAGUUAGAAGGCAUGUAAAAAAGCAGGAUGUGCUACAAACAUUAUGUCUAUCAUUUGCAUUGCGGGUGGCCAAUUCUUGUUUAUAGACCAGUGCCUGACUAACAAAAAGAAACUUCAUAAGGGGGCAACUUCGGUGACUCAUACAUCAAGAGCCACACAUGUCAAGUCUUCUUAGUUGAUUUUUCCUAAUUCAACCAUGCAGACACUACUUCUGACAAAGUUAGCAGGCCACACAACAAAUGAGGCAAUCGGUUACGAGGAAAAUAAACAACAUCAGAGAUAAUGGUGAGAGUGUAACCUUUUAUUGGUAAACACAGAUUCACCCCUUGACUCGUACCGCCUCCUCUCAGCACCCAGCACCUCCCUGUUUCUUAUCUCCUCUCGCAGCUCUUGGAUUCUACCAGUGAUAUCAUCAUCGCUUUCCUCCUCGUAGGACUUGAGCGGUCUCCUAUCUCUCUUCAUAUCACAGUUCCUCAGAGCAGCAGUGCUCCAUUUCCUCCUGAUGGCGCUCGUCUCCCCCGGUUCAUCAUCUUCCGACUCAUCUUCCCUCGAAGCCACGAAUUUUGCCAACCUCAGAUCCCUAGCAGCCGGCAUAACCUCCCCAUCCUCGUCCGAUGAAUCCGGCCUCCAUUUCUGGCCAAACCGCCGUGGGGCUGCUACAGAGUACAACCUCUCCUGAGUAUAAAACAGAGCCAACGGUGUCGCAUUCCUGCCAUCUCCAGCCUCGGCGAGCUGUCUAGCAACCAACGGCAUCAGCGCAGCACCCGAUUCCCGGCACGGCGAGCAUGGAGGCAUCACCGAGUAGCAUCUCUUCGGACCGAAGAAGCCGAAGGACGCCUCCUUCCUCUGCGAAGGCGUGCCGGAGCCCGGGCUCCAUUGCCACCACCAGGGAGCGGCCGUCCCGUACCCUCUCCUCUGGUUGAACGCGGCAGGCAAUCGCUGCUCAUUUCCGGCUCCCCUUCCCGCCGUCGGCUCCCCAGAAUCCAGCUCCUCCCAGUCCUUCCAGUCCCCUCCUCCCCGGGGCGGCUUCAGCUUCUCCCCGGACUCCACCUGCUUCCAGUCGACCAUCCGGGCGCCAGACGGCAGGCUCCUCGCUGGCUGCUGCUGAUGCGGGGGGAGCCGCGCACGGCGUAGCGGGCCGUCGUCGUCGUUCCAGAGGUCCUCGGCGCCGGGGCGGAGGAAGCGGUCGGCGAGGGCGCGGAUGUGGGCGCGCGAGGAGGUGGGGCCGGCAUGGUCGGCGGGGGAGGCGGGGGCGCCGGGGAGGUGGGAGGCGCGGAUCUCGGAGCGGAGGCGGGCGAGGUAGAGCUGCUUCUCAUGGCGGAGCAGGCCCCGCUCCUUCCCCCGCGCCAGCUUCUCGUGCAUCCGCUUGUGCUGCCACUUGGACAGCCCCCCAGGGAACGUCCGCGGCCCGCCCCCCAUCUCUGGUUCUUCUCCGGCGACGAGCAGUGGCGGAGCUAGCAAUUAAUUUACAACAGGGUGAUCCACCUAAAAAAAAUCGACAACAAAUAUGACAUGUAAACAUUGUAAUUAAUUGCAAAUACCACAUAGAAAUAGAUUAACAUGGUCUUACAAACACACUAGAAUUCUCAUUCAAGUCUCAGCUUUGCAUAAAAGAAGCCUACAUUUCUUCAAUAAUUCUGCAAUAAGAAUUUACCGUUCAUCAAUCAGUGGCACAAUUGAACAGAAAUGAUGCCCUAAGUUAACCGGUUCAUGUUCAUGCAUUGUAGUGUACCGUGCGCAGCACAAGGAAUCAGCAAGCAGUGAAGCUAACCCUAAAUCGAAAAUUGGGGGAUUGAAAAAUGGUACCUCAGAUCAGGCUGAGCCGAGUGCCGGAGUGCAGACUGGGCGGUGGGUGGCUGCCGCCGGCUUGCAGGGCCGCGGCAGGGCAGCAGGGUCACGGCCGGGGUAGGCCGAGGGCGCGACGGAGAGGCAGGUGCGGAGGAGCCUCCUGGGAGGAUGGGCCGCCGGCGACGAGCAAGGGCGGCGAGGCGGGCAAAGGCGGGGACGGGGCGGCCGGCGGCGGUGCGUCGGGCAGGGUGUGUAGGGUUAAGAGUUGACGGCCAAAGGUUUUUACUGAUGGUGUAGAUGAGCAGAAAGGUUUCCGCCUUCGAACAAGUUGAUGACGCCUCCGCAUUCAGGUCGCGGAGUCCAGCGCUCUGCGCGGGCCAGCGGGACGAGCGGUGGCUGACAGGCGGGGCCCACCCCCACCCCACCCCGCUCCUCGCCAGCUGCUGACUUCGCUUCCCUCGCUGGCCGUCGGCGGUUGGCAGAUCGGAGAUGGAGGGGGAGAGGGGGCGGGUGCUGGUGGUGGGCGGGAGCGGCUACCUCGGCCAGCACCUCCUCGCCGCGCUCGCCGACGGCGGCGGCGUCGACGUGGCCUUCACCCACCACCGCGGAACCGGGCCGCGGGCGCUGCUCGACGCGCUCCCUGGCGUCCGCGCCUUCCGCGCCGACCUCCGCUCCGGCGACGGGCUCGAGGCCGUCUCCGCGUCCUUCGGCCAGGUACGCGCAGGCCCCUCCCCAUUCCGCGAGCGCACCAUUCUGUCCUGGUCAGCGCUGCCGCCGUGCGUGCUGCCUGACCAUGAAUGGCAUUUCGUCGAACACCUUUUCCGCCAAGCUGCAGCCGGCCGGCACUGCGAGUGCUUGCUCACUUGGUUUCUCAACACGUCGGUCAGUGCGCGUGCAGUCCAUGCCCAGACGGCGCCUCAGCAAAUCCGUAGCUAGAGACGGCGCCUGCUGGCAUCCACUGCUGUUGAUUCACACUUCUUCGCGCUUCAGCUGCGCACUAACAUUCAGUCUGGCACUGUCAGCGUUAUCUCGACCCGGACCAGCAACGGCUCAACUUCUCGGCACCUCUGGUGCAGGGUUGCAAACAACCAACACAAACAACGUUGUACCAUGGAUGCCAAAGUCAGUUGCCAUGAAUUCUUCUGUCUUUGCUAAGCUUGUAGAAACGUUGCCUUUAGGUUCCUAAUAUAAACAGGAGUAGUUGCCUAUUCUGCAGCUGGGAGAAACGGUUUGACUGUGAUGCACGAUUGAAAUUUGCCCUACUUCGCCUGGGUUUUCAGGGGAGUAAACCGCGCAUUCAGAAUGCCAAGAACAUGGCUUCUUGCAGUGCCAGCUACGGUGCCACUGUUAAUCUUCCACAGUGGAUUUCUCUGCCAACAGUGAUUCCUUCUUACAUGCCCGCGCCGUUUAGUACUCAACCAUCAGAGCGUAAUAUCCGGAGAUCAUUUCUGUGCUCGCAUAAUUUUUCCUUGUUUCUUUCAUACUUGAAUGCAGUGUAUUUAUUUACUGUAAAGUGUUGAAACACUUUGGACUAUCCAGUCUGGCAGAAUCCGCACUUGUGUAUUACUCAUCUCUUGCUCUUUUCAUCCACGAGUUCGUAAACUCCCAUUGCUGUCCUCUAACUGGGAGUGUUAAUGCUUGUCCUGUUCAGCCACAUGUGAUUGUGAACUGUGCUGCAAUCUCGGUUCCUCGGGCGUGCGAAACGGACCCAGCUGCUGCCAUGGCUACUAAUGUGCCUUCUUCACUUGUCGAUUGGUCACUGAGCUUUGGGAAUGACAAGACUCUUUUGAUCCAUCUCUCCACAGAUCAAGGUAGAGCACUCUUGUGAAUUGAUGUGUGAUACAUUCGUACUGUUAUAUUUGGCAUCCGCCGUUUGCCCGAAUCUACAAGCAAGCAUGCGUCCACUUGCAUUUAUAUUUGUUGGUAAUUAGCACUACUACUUGACCUACUUUAGGUUUACUUUAUCAUCUUGGUGAGCUUAAUGCCAAGGGCAAAUGAAGAGCUUACCAAAGUUAUACCUUGCUGAUUGCCUGAUCCGUAGUACUAUAGAACUGUAUAAAGGGAAGCCUGGUGCACGUAGUAUGUAACUAUAUAUUUACGUUAUUUUUUACUAAGAUGCCAUCUUCUGUGCCAACUCCAAACCUAAUCUAGAACUCAUGUGCAACAGUUUAUCAGGGGGUGAAAUCCUUCUACAAAGAGGAGGAUGAGACACUGCCGGUGAACAUGUAUGGCAAAUCAAAAGUUGCUGCAGAGAAGUUCAUUACUGAGAAAUGCUCAAACUAUGCAAUCUUGAGAAGCAGCAUCAUUUACGGGCCACAAACAAUCUCUCCUGUUGAAAAAUCGCUCCCUAUCCAGGUAAGAUAACCAACCGCUCCAAAGCAUUGUUGCUAAAUUUAAAACAAAAUAAAAUUGUUUGACUGCACAACCCUUGCAGAAUAUAGUAUCUAAUUAGAAACUGCGUGCCUCUUUGGUUGCAGUGGAUGAACGCUGUCCUUUCACAAGGCCAGCAAGUUGAUUUUUUUAAUGAUGAGUACCGCUGCCCAGUUUAUGUAAAAGAUAUGGUGGAUGUAAUAUUGUCUUUGACAAAAAGUUGGUUAUCAGGUAUGAAAAAGGUGAAUUCAAUGUGAUUUUAUGGAGUGCAGUCAUUAGGAAUGCUCCUUGUACAUGGCGUAAUGGUUAACUAUAUGAAAUCUGCUCUUUCUAGAAUGCACUCCAUUUUUCAUUUAAUAACUUCAAUAUUGUUCUCUGCAUCUUAAGUGGUUUUAUUCUUUAUUAUUCGUUUAUCAGUUGCACUGACACUAAAGUACAUAUUGCAGAUGGCAAAAAAGUUCAGUUACUUCUGAAUGUCGGUGGACCAGAUAGGGUUUCAAGACUGCAGAUGGCUGAGUCUGUUGCUGAAGUUCGUGGAUAUAGCAAGUCGAUGAUCAAAUCUGUGCCUGCAUCAUCGGUAUGAACUCUACCUCUGCUCAUGUGAACUGUUUUCAGUGAUAGUCGCAGUUCACAAUGCACUAUAGAACAGUCACGAACUUUACAGGUUGAAUAAAUUUUGCAGUUGUGAUAGCUUCUUUGCUCUUCCUUUAUGUCUUAGGUUUCCAGCCUGUCUGCCUGAAAUGAGUUCAUGUCAAGUAUUGUGUAGUCAUAUGACCCUUUAUCAGUGGCUAAUGGCCCCAUCCAUUUAUUAUUAUCCAGGUUAACCGGGGUGUAGCUUCACCGUCAGACAUAUCCAUGGAUAUCACCAAGCUAACUCAGACACUCGGUAUCCAGCCGAUUACAUUCCUGGAUGGAGUCAGAGCCACACUUGACGCAGAAGCCACUACAUGAUAUUCAUAAAUUGUUUGUUCAAGUUCCUCCACAAAAUAUCGAAGUGUGACAAUUUCUGGAUGGAGUCAGAGCUACACUUGACGAUUUUUCUACACAAAAGAGCCCCUCUCCUAAUUCACUAAUUUGUAGGAAGGUACUGAACUUUUGGAUUUGAAAAAAGUUUCAAGAAGCCAGUACAUGAUAUUCAUAAAUUGUUUGUUCAAGUCCUCCACAAAAUAUCCAAGUGUGACACAAAGAACCCCCUUUCUUUUACCUGACAAAGAACCUGUACUAGUUUGCCGAAAUUGCAGCAGAGGUAGAUUUUGUUGGAUCUGUAUGUGUGAAAGACGUAACUUUGCUACCAUCGAACAACUUGCCCUUGGUUUUACUGUCUGUACCAUUCUGAAUAAAAAUGGCAUCCAUGUGUGCUCUUCAGAAGUCUGUACUUCUGGUCUGCGACAUAUACCGUUACCAUAUAUCACCGAUGAAGAAUCUUUUCACUCCGAUGAAUGAUACUCUGUUUGAUAAUUUUAAGUAGGAUAUCUUACUGACCAAGUUAGGUUGGCCGAAAUUUUGUUCCUCUGGAGGAUAUCUUACUGACCCUGUUCUGUGUGAAUGGUAAUUUUUUUUUGCAGUCUCGGUGAGUCACUCUGUUUUGCAUACAUCUAAAUUAAACUGAACAGAAGUGCAGGUUCUUGGUGUGCAAGUCUGUCAAUCAAACCCAAGCAGACACUGGAUGCGGGAUUCACGCGGCCACGAGGGGAGACCGUGAGGCAGUAGCCUUGUGGCAGAAGCAACAUGAUUUGACUCAUGCCCUUGUCUUGCAGAGUGGCCUGGGGACAAAGGUAAACUAGUACUGCUGCUGCUCCAGUGCUAAUCAAGCAUUGAAAGUCAUAUAGAGUAGCUAUGAAUUUAAGGAAUGCCCUGUUACUGAAGGCUGUAGCAUGAGUGUUAUCCCUAAUCCCUGUUGCUUUUGACCACACUGCAGGGGAACACAGAUGGCAGGGGUCCCACCUCCAAGGUAACACUCAUGUGCUCCUGCGAUGCUAGAUCCAUAUGUAUCACUCAUUCAUAUGAAGCAAAAAAAAAAAAAAAAGCAUGCCAGUUAGUGAAUGUCUGCAUUCUUAUGCUUUGCAACUAUGCUAAUCAUGCCAGAUUAGCCUGCCUGCCCCUGUGGCAAUCUGUGUGAGUCAGCUCAUGGGCGUUCAUUCACUGUCAACACCGAGCAGCGAGCACCACUGGAUGCCCUCUCCACAGGUAAGCAUGCAUGCAUAUCAGUACUAACUCAGUGUAUCGCUCGUACGACUCCAUCAAUUCUCCAGCUAGAGCAGCAUUAAGUGGGAGGGCAAACAUUGCUCGCAGUGGUCUGGUUGCUUGAUUUUGAAUCGCUGCCAGAUCUGCUUGCAGUGAGCGGGCAGCAUUGAUGAACCAGGGCACUCACACAGUUAACACUCACUGGCGCCGACACACAUCAAUUAACAAUUUAGUAAACAUGUCCAUCGCAAAAUCUAUCAAGCAGUAGUACUACUGUCAGUGAGAUUUGUGAUCUAGUGGCAGUGAGAUUUGUGAUCUAGUAGUAAAAUCUAUCAAGCAGUAGCACUACUGUCGGUGAGAUUUGUGAUGGUAAUUUAGCCAGGGUGGUUGGCUGGGAGCUUAGAAUCUGUCAGACUUGCCAAAAGUGCUAAGCUGGCAAGGAAGACGCGUGUAGACUGCAAGAUUUGUGCAAGGAAAAUGACCGCCUUUACUUCUUCAUUAACGCUGCUGGAUGCUUCCUAAACUUGGAGACUGCGCUUUGCAUGAUUUGUUUGUUUAAUCGAGGGAAGGGGGGACUGUGCUUUACAUUGACAUUUGUGUCUUGUUCGAUCCAGCCUUGCACUAUUUAGAUUUAGAUUACUGGGCACCUACCCUGUUUGUGUCUGGAUUCCCACCAGGUGUGGGGUCUACGCUGUUGGGGAAUCUGCUGCUGCUGCUAAUUAAGCUUGAGCUACCACCAUGCAUGCACUGAGAGUCCAAUGGUAGGGGACAUUUCCUUUCACCCUAUUAGAUAGAUGGAUGAACAGAUAACUUGUGUCUAUAACCUAAGGCAUGGGGCUCCUGCUAAUUAAGAAAUCAAGCUUGAGCCUUGAGCUACUGCCAUGCUCUGAAAGUCUAAUGGUGGGAGACAUCUCCAUUCACCCUACAGAUGACUUGUGCCUAUGGCCAAGGGCAUGGGGUUCCUGUUGUCAGGGCCAUUGGUUUCCUUUGGUUGCUUGGCUGAGCAGGCUAACAUGACGGCACGGAGGACUUGCUGCCACAAGCAGCCAAGGUUGUCAAUGGCCCCUGCUCAGCCCAGCCAUUUUUCUAUGCACCAUGAGUUUCAUGUACAUAUCUUUACUUUCUAUAUAUAUGCAUGUAGCCUAAAGUGCUUUUAUUCUCAGAAAUCUUAGCACCUGCUCCCCUUACUAGAUCACCAAGUCCAUGGACGAGACACUUGGAAGAUACUAAAGAGAGAUAUCCCAUAUCUGGUCAGUAGGAUUAGCCAUGCCCAUGCAUGCUUUUCUCCUAACCAUGGCAGGCAGGUCCCAUGCCCAGGCUCUGGUCUCCAUAUCCAAGAAAUUCAGGAAACAUGGAUUUUCUUUGCUGGGGGGAAUCGGUGGGCCCCACAUGCCAAACUUUUAGUGAACCGAACACAUUACCAUACCAUGUAGUCAGAGUCAGUGGAGUACUACUACUACUAUAGGCCAUAUAUAGGAUGGAGGAUGGAGGAUCGCUCAGUGUCUAUUUCUUGUUACCUGUGUCUCCUCUUAUUAGUGGCCUCUCUCCCCCAGCUAAAUCCAUAUUAAUACCCUCCUCCUCCCCUGCUCCUCUCUCUCUCCCUCUCUCAUGCCAUGAGGAGAUCCUCCCAGCAGCACUCCUUGCUCCCCUGCAUCCUCCUCCUCAUGCUCCUCGCCAUGUCACACCUGCCGAGCUCGAGCCAUGGCUUGAGAACGCUGAGGGAGGAAGAAGAAGCGGUCGGCGAGCUCAUCAAAGGCCAGCAUGAGCUCCCCCCGACCAUCUCCCCUACUCAAGAAGCAGGCGGCGACGACGUUGCCGCCGCCGACGACAUCGGCGCCGGGAAGUUCACCGUCUCGAGGAGAGCGGUUCCUCAGGGGCCCAACCCUCUGCACAACUGACGAGGAUCAACGCAGGGUCACGAGGAUCGUCGGCAUCAGCUCCGGUGGAUCUCUGCAGCAGGCACCAUGGCCACCAGAUACAUAUACUAUACCCUUUUUUUUUGUCCUCCCCCCAUUAUUUUUUUAGCUGGCUAGCCUAGAAAGAUGAUAAUACGGUACAGACAGGCCGUAGUACCACCAUUGAUGUAUGUAUGUAUGCUCAUCAAUACCUGUGGGCUGUGUGUGUGUGUGGCUCCCUCCCUCCAUUCCUGCUUCCUUGCAUGAUUAGCUACAGCCCUCGUGUACAUAUGCAGUGAUUGAUGUGGCCAAGGCGUGAUAGUUUGUUGGUUAAGCAUUUACGUACGUACUCCCUCCGAUCCAUAAUAAGUGUCGUGGUUUUGAACUAAGGUUGGAUUAAGCUUAGUUCAGAACCGCGACACUUAUUUUGGAUCGAAGGGACGGAGUACUAAAUAGCAGUGUCUUUACAAUCGUGUAGUUGAGUAGGAUCUAAAAUGCUGAGAUGUUGUUGCUGUUCUUCUUUUUCUUUUUUGCCUUAUCUGAAGAAAUUAAGUAAGCUGUUUUUUGGCCAGUGAUAUCUUGUGGUUGUUGGAGGGCUCCCAUCUAGGAGUAGUAGAGUGGUAUCUGCUGAUCUAUAAAGCAGAGUCAUGAGGCGCAUGUGAAUGCUUAAUCAACCCCGUGAGCGGAGCAGGUGUUAAUUACUUAAUCACGGGCUGAUUAAGGCGCCUCCUCUCCUUUUUCUUGUAAAUAUUUUGGGAGCAAUCUUUUUCGAGAGAUGGACUGGCUGAAGCAAAGCAGAGUAAAUAAAUAAAUAAAAUGUCUGCAGCUGGCUGUACGAUUUUAUUUUAUAUUUAAUUUUUGGGUGAUUCAGCUGGGCUGGCUGUACGUGGGUUGGGUCGCCGUGUCAGCGAUGUCCCCGGAGCCGGAGCCGCAGGACGUACAGGUGAUUAGGUGACGGUGGUCGGUGGUGGACUCGCAGACACAUGCGAUUAGCAGCUGGAGUGGUGGUCAAAGCUCCGGCCGGUCUCCGGGUUGAUGCUGUGAGUUGGGGUGGGUGGGUGGAGGAGCGGAGCAGCUGGGCAGGCGAUUUUGCUGGUCAAACUCAUCUCGAGAUCCGAGCCAGAUACUACUACCUAAAAUUGUCAGGCAGUGCGGUGUCUCAACUCUGGACUGGACUGAGCUGACUGUCUUCUUAUAAUUUUCAGAAAUUUGCUCCGAUUAAUCCAGGGUAUAUUUGUUUUGUUUGUGCACGUAAAUAUGAUGUGAAGCUAAAAAGGAAAUCUGAUGACAGAUUUCUAGCAGGUUGGAGCCAACGUCUUCAUUAGAUUAACCGCACGAAUGUUGGACCUUGCUCAGUUGCUUUGCCACGUCAGGGGGAAAAUGGCUCGAUAUGAAACUGCCUCAAGCCAAUACCCCUUCCCUUCAUCAACUUAUCUCUGUCGCGGCCGUCUCGAGCGGCUCCUCUUCAUCCGCUUCUCUGGCGAGCUCCAGCUCUCCACGCUAUCCAGCGAUUCCGGUCCAAGUGCGGCGGCGCAGCACGCAAAUCCCGGUGAUGGUGGUUGGGCGCCGCCAUCUGCGAGUAGCGGGAGGAGUGGUGGUGGUGGUGGCGGUGGCCGGGAGCUGCGAGCUGGUGAUGCUUAUCUGAUGAUGGUCGUUUCCAUAGACAGUUAUGUUCUUCAUCGACCUCAGCGACGAGGACGGCGACGGCCACUAGAUCUAGGUUUUAUUAUGUUUUUCUUAUUUUAAUUAAUGUAUAUAUUUUAAAUUCAGAAGAUGUUCAAAUUUUGAAAUACCUCACGACGCGGUGUCCCUUUCUAUCAAGAAAUGAGGCUUCACAAUUACUAGCCAAUAUUUAUCAGUUUUUCGCUCGCAUCUCGACCGCUUUUACUUUAAAAAGUAAGCGAGGAGAGCUGAUAAAGAUGGAGUUCCCCUAUGAUGAGCCCUAUGAUGAGAUUUAGUUUCACAGAUAUGAUGAGUUGGGCGCCUUAAACAUUCAGCCACGGAGCUUUUUCCGCUUCUUUCUUGCACAAUUAACUGGGAGUUCCUGGGCGAGGACAUUUGUCAUGUGGUUCGUGGUUUCUUGGAGGGAAGACCAAUUCCUGAAGGUUUAUGUGAUUCGGUUAUUGUCUUGAUUCCAAAGACUACCAAACCGAAGCUGUUGAAGAACUUUCGUCCUAUCAGUCUGUGCAAUGUGCUCUACAAGAUUGCUUUCAAGGUCCUAGCCAACCGUCUGAAAUCUAUUCUGCCUGUGGUGGUUUCAGAGAGUCAGAGUGCCUUUGUUCCUGGCAGAUUGAUCAUGGAUAACACCCUUAUUGCUUAUGAGUGCCUUCACACCAUCCGGAAUCAACGCGUGAAGAAACCCUUCUUUGCCCUAAACAUCGAUAUGAUGAAGGCUUAUGAUCGUGUGGAGUGGAGCUAUCUGCAUGAGUGCCUGACCAAGCUUGGUUUUGCAAACUCAUGGAUUGAGACUGUCAUGAGGUGUGUGACUAAUGUCCGGUAUGCCGUGCAUGUUAAUGGUGAGUUAACUGAACCGGUGGUUCCUUCUUGUGGGAUUCGUCAAGGGGAUCCAAUAAGCCCGUAUCUAUUCCUCUUAUGCUCUGAAGGUUUGUCUAGUCUGCUAUUUCAAAAAGAGGCUCGUGGCGAGCUACAUGGGAUUCGCAACGGCUGUCAUGGCCUGUCUAUCUCACACCUCCUGUUCGCGGACGAUAGUAUCUUCUUUGCGAAGAGUGAUUAUCAGAGUGUGGCAUCAUUGGAAUCUACCCUCAACUCCUAUUGUUCGGGAUCAGGCCAAGCUAUUAACAAAGACAAGUCGGCGCUCUUCUUUGGCAGACACUGCCCCACAAGUGUCAAGGACAGGGUUAAGGCUCAGUUGGGCAUUAGCAACGAAUCCUUUAAGGACUCAUAUCUGGCUAUGUCGACGGAGGUUGGUAACUCUCCUACUAGUACUUUCAAGUUUCUUGUUGAUAAGGCGUGGCAGAACAUAUUUGGUUGGUCUGAUCGGACUAUGUCUAGGGCUGGCACUGAAACUUUACUGAAAUCAAAGACUCAAGCUAUCCCCACCUUCAUCUCAAGCUGUUUCCAUCUGCCUGUGGCUAUCUGCGAGAAGUUCAGGCAAAUCGUGUCUGAUCAAUGGUGGGGUCGCGAGGAUGGCAAAAAGAAAAUGCAUUGGUGCUCUUGGGAAUGGCUUUCUACACCGAAAUCCCUCGGGGGCAUGGGCUUCAGGGAUAUGGCGCUCUUCAACCAAGCUAUGUUGGGCAAACAAGGUUGGAGGCUUCUGACUGACCCUGGAUCUUUGUGUGCUCGGGUUCUAAAGGGAAGGUAUUUUCCGUUUGGUGACUUUUGGAAUGCUUAUGCUCCUAGUUCUGCCUCGGCCACUUGGCGUGCUAUUCUGCAUGGGCGGGACCUGCUCAAGAAGGGUGUGCAAUGGGGGAUUGGGGAUGGCAGGAGUACUCUCAUUGUCAAAGAUCACUGGAUCCCUUCCACUCCUCCGGCUAUGCUUCGAACUCUAUCACCCAUCCCAAGCUCGGCUACAGUCCAUUGUUUGCUUGAUGAGGAGAGCGGAGGCUGGAACGAGGAAUCUGUGCGUGCUUUCUUCCCUGAUGAUGUGGCUUAGGACAUUCUCAAUAUUAAUGUGAGUCUGGAAGGAGGUCCGGACUUUGUGCGCUUGCCGUUCACAAAAUAUGGUCAAUAUUCCGUUCGCUCAGCAUACAAUAUGGUCAGGACGAACAGGUUUUUGCUGGCGCGAAGUGGAAAUGGUGAGGGUCAGCACUCGGGUUGGCCUUUGGAGGAUAAGCUGUGGAAGAAGAUAUGGAACUUCAAGGUCCCGAACAAAAUGAAAAUCUUGCUGUGGAGAUUUGUUCACAAUUGCUUGCCAACGGGAGAACAACUGCAGUGCGCCAUGUCCCAACGAGGACGGAUUGUGUGUUCUGUGGCCGGGCUGAAGGUAUCGAGCACGCGAUGCUCUUUUGUGGCCAUGCAAGAUUAGUCCGGGAGGAGAUCAAGGAGGUUUUUGGUCUCAAACUGUGUUGCUCCUCAUUCACUUCUCCUAAGCAGUGGUUUUUCGAGCUGAUUGGCUGGUGUUCUGACAGGGAGAUCUCCGUCAUCAUGGUCACAUUAUGGCACAUCUGGGAAGCCCGUAAUGCUGCUCGCAAUGAUCCGGAUCCCCCUCAUCCAAAGCGGACGGCUGCGAGGUCGAGAGCUUAUGUGGAUAUGAUUUUCCAGCACCUCUUCAAACCUGCUACUGGCCCUGGACGGGCAUCUUCGAGGACUGGUUUUCGUUGGACCCCGCCACCGCAUGGUACGCUGUUGGUAUCGUCGGAUGCUGCGGUUUCCGCCGACAGUGCUUCUUCUGCGGCGGGGGUGGUGGUUCAGGAUCAUUCUGGCCAGUGUGUGGCGGCUGCCUCCGAUCCCUUGCCCGGUGUCUCGUCCCCAGAGUUGGUUGAGGCCUUGGCGCUCCAUCGGGCGGUGCUGCUCGCGGGCGAGAUGAAUUAUGAUCGAGUGAUCUUUCAGUCUGAUUGCCUCUCGGUGGUUCAAAGGAUUCACUCUCCGAUCCGGGACAGGUCCAUGGUGGGUUCGAUCAUCGCUGAUAUCAAGAUGGCCUGUCGAGCUUUGUCUUCGGUCUCCUUUAUGCAUGUCCGUCGGCAUUGUACUCCCUCCGUUCCGAAUUACUUGUCGCACGUAUGGAUGUAUCUAGAUGUAUUUUAGUUUUAGAUACAUCCAUUUCAGCGACGAGUAAUUUGGGACGGAGGGAGUAAUAUUUUAGUUCAUGUUCUAGCUAGAUCUAGUCUGAACUCUGUGAGUCCUUGUGUUUUUCAUUUUGCUCUGGAUUGCAUCCGGGAGACUCUGUGUAAUCUGUGUGCUUGAUUAAUAAAGGCCGACGUUCUCUAAAAAAAAAUUUUGGGCACACCUAAACCGGACUUUGUGUCUAAAAAGAAGCCGGACUUUCGAUUCAGGCGAGCCUACCUAAACAGAAACAAGGUCGGCGGGUUGGAAAUUGCCCAAAAAGUCCCGACCUUUACCGGAAAAGGCUAGAACCGCCGCAAUCUCCCGUGCCCAGUCCCUACAGCCGCCGCCGCCGCCCCGCCGCCCCGCCGGACGCCCCUCGCUCCCUCUCCCCGCCCCGGCCCCGCUUCCCACGGGCGUCGGCGCCGCCGCCGGCCCUGUUCUUCCUCGCCUGGGCGCCGCGCUGCCGCCGUCUCCACCCCGUCCGCCCACGCCCAUUGGGUUCGAGGUACCAGGUUUCUCCAUCUUCAUCCGGCGGUCAGGCUCAACACAAAUCCCGCUGAACCUCACGGCUUCCGGGCGCGCGCCGUCUAGAUCCGCCCUUACAGCAGCCGCUGUGGCGACCUGGGAACGGCUUGCUAGCUACUCUAGAUUGCGAAGGCAAGAUUUUAUUUUUGCCUGCUUGGUCUGAGCGAUGUGCCGAGCCAUGUUCUUGAACUUUUGCAUGGCUUUGUUAACUUUCCCUGCCGAUGCUGCUUGAGUAGUUGCGGCUGGCCUGGUGGCUGCUUGCUCUGUUUGAGGUGGUGGUACAAUUCUAGGUUCCUAUUAAUGGAGAUUGGGGCAACUGCCCUUUCAUCAAAAGGGAAAUCCUAAACUGAACCCGCAUGCCGGCCCCUGUUUCUGUUUCUGGAUGAGGCCUUGAAAUUCUGGGUGGGAGCCAUAUCCCUACCCACACACCCAGGAGAUAGAUAGAUAGAUAGAUAGAUGAACAACCCUCCACUGCUGAUAGUUGUCUUUUAUGUUUGAUAGUUUUAUGAGUCUAAAACCUGUGGACGCCUUCGCUACACAAUGCUUGUUCUUAUUCAGAUGAUGCCCGUACGAUGUUGUUUUUCAUGUUUGCCAGCUCUGUUUAUACAUCUUUGAUGUUUGCCAGCUCUUUUUAUAAAUGCCUUUGAUGCUUGCCAGCUCUGUUUGUUUAUAAAUGUAAAACCUGUAGAUGCGUCUUGCACGGUGCUGCUUAUUCUUAAUUGUUCGGAGGAAAUCUCUCUCAGCCAUCACGAGUGACUGUUGCUAGGCGUUGUUAUUUCCUGCAGGAGCUCCUAUAUAUGGCGACAUCCGACGAACAGGCUCGCGAGGACCGACAGGAUAUCAAGGACGAACAACUGGCUCACAAGGACGACGAACAGGCUGAGAAGGAGUACGCCGAUUUCGAGGCGAGGGUCAGGAGGACGAUAUACAUCGAUCACCUCUCCCCCCUGAUCACCGCCCAGGUCAUCAAGGCGUCUCUCGCCCAGUGCGCCAACGUCGUCAGCACCGAGUUCAUUCAGAACUACACGAUCCAGUACGAGAUCCCCGCCGCUGCGUUGGUCGAGGUGGACAACGUGUCGCAGGCCCAGGCUGCUGUGGACCUGAUGAACAACUUCCCUUUCAUGCUCGGCGGGAUGCCCAGGCCUGUGAGGGCCGUCUUUGCAAAGCCCGACAUGUUUCCGGAUCGCCCUAGGAAGCCUGGCUUGAAGAUUGAGUUCAGCUGGGUCAAGCAAGGAGAUCCAGGGUAUGAUGGGAUGAAUAAGCUCAAGGGCCUCGCCAGGAGGCAAGAAGCAGAAAAUAUGGCACUUAUCAAGGUGAAGUGGUUGUUUCUUUACUUCUUUACUCUUCUUAUUAUGUACUUGUAUGCCCACUACUAAGAAAAGCUGCAAAUCUUUCUGCCUUCCUUUACUUGUCUAAAAUGAGAAAAACACUUGCUCAGGGAACAGGAAGUGUCAGACAUAUUUUGAGAAAUAUUUUGAGAAUUUUGAUGAUGAUGCUGUUCUUUAAAAUGUGAUACAGUUGCUUUAAACCUCGUUUGUUUUGCAUACGAGCCAUAAUUUCAUUAAACUUUGUUCUCCUUUUUGUUUCAGAAUCAGUUGGAAGAGGAGAAGGAGCUGGCGGCGCAGCAGCAGGAAACCCUGGAAGCAAGCAAUAGCAAGUACGACAUGCUCGAGAAACUCAUGACUGACGGGGACAUUACUAAACUCGCUCAGCAUUACAAGGUCAAGCUGGGAGACGACUGAUGAGUUGUCGACGUACAAGCACCUCCCUCGGAGACUGCGAUCACCAGUGCAAGCAGAUUCUUGUUCUGCCCAGGGCAUCCCACUCGUAGAUGUGAUGGUGUGAUAGUAAUCAUCCAUUGGCUAGUCAUAAAGCAUCGAUUUGUUUGGUGCCGCCGCGCUCUAGUUGUAGCCAGCUGCAAAGCAGCAGUUCCUUAGUGUAACAACUGUCAGAUACAAUAUGAUCCGAUCCGUUGAUGGUACGCUUGGUGUAAUAUCAAUCUUUGUAUGACCUUCAAGCUUAGCAUGUUGGCAAGAUGAUCCAACGAUGUCUGGUACCAUCUCUUGUAUUGCUUGAAACUUGCUUGAUAUCGGAUAUUAUGUCGGUGCCCUCGGUUCCGUCCUGUCUGGCAGUUGUGCUGCUAGCUUGAGAUGUUUUAUGUUGGUCCUGAAGGCGGGUUGUUGCUUGGAGCAGGAGGGAAUCAUGUCUGCCUUGUGUUGCCAGGAAUGGACACAAUGUCAGUCACAAGUGCCAUGUUCCCAAACCUUGCAACACAGGAGAAGGAGGUUCUGCCUGGCAAGAGGAACACCAGAGCUUUUUCACUGCUGUUGCUGCACCUGAAUCUGCAAUGGGUAGGUAGGUCCCCAGGGCCAAGGAGGAUUCUGCCUCUGCUUCUUAUCAGGUGCUCUUCACAAGGAAAUUUCUUCACCUCCUCUCACUUUCUGCUGUUGCUAGGAGUAAUAUUGUGUCAGGUUUUCUGACUGCUACUACUCCCUCCGUUCGGAAUUACUUGUCGCAGACAUGGAUGUAUAGACGUAUUUUAGUUCUAGAUACAUCCAUUUCCGAGACAAGUAAUUCCGAACGGAGGGAGUAGAAUAGAAUGAUAUGCUUUGGAAUCAUCACCAGCCAAGUUGGUCUCCAUCCAUGCUUGCUUGUCCCACCUCCAUCUUCCCAGAUUUUUCUUACACUCUGUUUCAAAUGCAGUGUACACCUACCUUGUUUCAAAUUCUGUCAGGUCAAGUCAAACUGAAACUCAAUGGAAAGUCCUACCAUACACUGCCAAAUGCCAUAAAUUGUUUGUCUGAAGUUGUCUAUUUGUCAGAUUACUUGUGCUAUCCAUGAAGAUGCAAAGAACAUGCUCCGGAUGCCGCAGUUUAUAUUAACUGAACAGAAGGAAAAAAAACAUACUUUUUAUCGCUGUGACAGGGGUUAUGAGGCGCGCGUAGGGCUGCAAGAAAAGCUCAAGGCUCGUGAGCCAAUUGAGACCAACUUGUCUUUUGGCUCGACUCAAAAAAGAAAUGAGCUGAGUAUAAGCCCUCUCUCCAAAUAUCAAACUCGACACGACUCAUCUGAAGGAUUAUAUUGUGUAUGAAGAGCGUAGAAAAAUUCAAGUUGAUGCGGCGAAAUGUUCCAAAUAUCAAACUUGACAAACCCCCUCUCCAAACCACGAUCCCUCGUCUGAGAUGGUUUAGUGUCUAAAGUGAGUGCAUGGCAAACAUUUCCAAACCAUCUCAAAAUUUCACCACGGCAUUAUCAGGUCAUAUCAUGACACCAUGACAAGUAUCAGGGUUUUCAGACUUCAUUUUCAUUAACUUGUAAAAUCAUAUAGUACAUCAGUAAAAUUAAACGAUCCAACAUGACACAUGCAUAUGUAAUUCACAGAAAAUAAUACCGAGUUUUUGAAACAAGAACGAUUCGGAAGAAACUCACAAAGCCAAUCAAGCUAGUAACUCACAAAGCCAUCGGUGCCGCGUGACCGGAUGGGAGGGCCCUGCAACGUCGCCCGCACUGCGACGGCAGACAAAGGGGAACCGCGUGUCGCUAUGCAAGCUGCUGCCGCCCUGAUCUAGAUGCGAGCGACUCAACGGAGAGCAACCUCAUCGACAUCGCUCUCGUCGCCGCCAGAGCCGGAGUUGCUGCGGUCUGUUGACACCAGAUUUUGGCACGGUCAAGAACUUAAUUAAUAUGGCCUCAAAUAGAGAAGUGAUCUACAUAAAAAUGUUUUGUAUUGUCGAUAUGAACAUCUUUGAAGUUUGGGCCAUCGCCAUCCGAUCUCAUCUCGAAGGCCGAAGUUGUGUUCGAAAUACUGAGAUUUUGUAUCCAGAGCACUGUUCGGCCAAUUACCGCUCAAGGGAGGCCUCAAAUGAAAAAACAUUCUACAUGAAUUGUUUUCGUCUCGUCGAAACGGUCGAUUUUGAUAUAAAAAUCGUAUCAAUUCAGGAUCGUAUGUAAAAGUUACAGCCACCUGAGUGCGGCCCUGUCACGGGGCAAAAGUGGCGCGCCCCAUCAGACACGGUGUCUAAUGGGUAGCGCGAGUAACAUCCUAUUUUGCGCGAGCGAUUCAGCCCUGAAGAUGGCCACGAAUCAAAAAACGUUCAACAAGAGAGUUGUUCAUCUCGUCGAAACGGUCAAAAUUGGUUUUGGGCCCAUCUUCAUCUAAGGUCGUUUGUGGUCUGUGGGACCUAAAAACCAAACUGAUGUUCCAGACUUAUCUAAAUCCGAGUUCGGUUAAUUUUGGAAAGAUUUGGACGUGAUUUGAAGUUCUUUUCUUGUACGGGAAGUCCAUUGAUGACCCAUAAGUAUAGGGGAUCUAUCGUAGUCCUUUCGAUAAGUAAGAGUGUCGAACCCAACAAGGAGCAGAAGAAAAUGAUAAGCAGUUUUCAGUAAGGUAUUCUCUGCAAGCACUGAAACUAUCGGUAACAGAUAGUUUUGUGAUAAGGUAAUUCGUAACAGGUAACAAGUAACAAAAGUAAACAAGGUGCAGCAAGGUGGCCCAACCCUUUUUGUAGCAGAGGGCAAGGCUGGACAAACUCUUAUAUAAAGGAAAGCACUCCCGAGGACACAUGGAAAUUAUCGUCAAGCUAGUUUUCAGCAUGCUCAUAUGAUUCGCGUUCGUUACUUUGAUAAUUUGAUAUGUGGAUGGACCGGUGCUUGGGUACUGUCCUUCCUUGGACAAGCAUCCCACUUAUGAUUAACCCCUCUCGCAAGCAUCCGCAACUACGAAAGAAGAAUUAAGAUAAACCUAACCAUAAUAUGAAACAUAUGGAUCCAAAUCAGCCCUUUACGAAGCAACGCAUAAACUAGGGUUUAAGCUUCUGUCACUCUAGCAACCCAUCAUCUACUUAUUACUUCCCAAUGCCUUCCCCUAGGCCCAAACAAUGGUGAAGUGUCAUGUAGUCGACGUUCACAUAACACCACUAGAGGAAAGACAACAUACAUCUCAUCAAAAUAUCGAACGAAUACCAAAUUCACAUGACUACUUAUAACAAGACUUCUCCCAUGUCCUCAGGAACAAACGUAACUACUCACAAAUCAUAUUCAUGUUCAUAAUCAGAGAGGGAUUAAUAUGCAUAAAGGAUCUGAACAUAUAAUCUUCCACAGAAUAAACCAACUAGCAUCAACUACAAGGAGUAAUCAACACUACUAUCAACCCACAGGUACCAAUCUGAGGUUUUGAGACAAAGAUCGGAUACAAGAGAUGAACUAGGCGUGAGGGCAUAUUUAUCCCUUAGUUGUUUUGGUGAUUGAUGACAAUGCUUUUAUGGACUAAUCGUGUGCAUUGAGUAUUUGAGACAUUUCAUCACUAGGCACAAGACGGUUUGGUGCCCCUCGAAGACUAUUGAAGGCGGUGUUUUCUACGUUUCUUUUCGGUGGAUUUGAGUCGUAGGAAAGCCGUACUAUUAAGAGGAGGUCCACUUUGGAAAGUUUUGGGUGGAAUCAUCACGUACACGUCUUCCUCAUUUGCACCGCCUUUCCUUUGGCUCUUUGGAGAAUCCUCCGUCUUUUCUUGUCUAUGCAAAAUGUCGUGUUUGCUGAACUGGGGCAUGCGGUAGUACUGCUCCUAGGAGCGGUAGUACCACAGGCCCUUGCGGUAGUACCGGCCUCGGGCGCGGUAGUACCGGCCCCGGGCGGGGUAGUACCGCAAGUGCCCACGGUAGUACCACUUCCUUGAAGCGGUAGUACCGUGGCCUCAGGCCAGGCGCUGCUGCUAUUGCAGUAGUAGGGGCGGAUGUAAUUUUUUACAUCCGCGCCCUACGUGGUAGUACCGUGCCAGGGGCGCGGUAGUACCGUGCGCUCUGGCCAGGCUCAGCAGCAUGCGCGGCAGUAGGGGCGGAUGUAAUUUUUUACAUCCGCACCCUGCGUGGUAGUACCGCUCCUGGCUUACGGUACUACCAUGCCGGAUUUUUGCAUAGAUCCCAACUCAGCGGAAGUUGCCACGGAUGUAAUUUUUUUAUAUCUGAGCCUUCCCAUAAUCUGGACCAUCCCUGCCUUGCGGUUGUACCGCAAGGGGGAGCGGUAGUACCGCGCCAGCGGUUCUACCGCCCUCUGCUUCAGUUCAUCUGGAGCGGUUCUGGUUUCUGCUGUACGAGCAGUAGUACCGCGGGGCCCUGGGUAGUACCGUGUGCCCUUGGGGUAGUACCGUGUCCCCGGCGCGGUAGUACCGUGCCACGCGGGCUGAGUUGGUGGAUAACGGUUGGAUUUGUCCCUCCACUAUAAAAGGGGUGUCUUCUUCUCCGAGUUGACUACCUCUUCUAUCCCCAAGGUCCAUUGUUGCUCCAAGCUCCAUUUUUGCCCGAUCUCUCUCCAUAGCCAAUCAAACUUGUUGAUUUUCUAGGGAUUGGUUGAGAAGGCCCCGAUCUACACUUCCACCAAGAUAAAUUUGAUUCCCCCACUAAUCCCUUGUGGAUCUUGUUACUCUUGGGUGUUUGAGCACCCUAGACGGUUGAGGUCACUGCGGAGCCAUAUUCCAUUGUGGUGAAGCUUCGUGGUGUCAUUGGGAGUCUCCAAUUAAGUUGUGGAGAUUGCCCCAACCUUGUUUGUAAAGGUCCGGUCGCCGCCUCCAAGGGCACCAAUAGUGGAAUCACGACAUCUCGCAUUGUGUGAGGGCGUGAGGAGAAUACGGUGGCCCUAGUGGCUUCUUGGGGAGCAUUGUGCCUCCACACCGCUCCAACGGAGACGUACUUCCCCUCAAAAGGAAGGAACUUCGGUAACACAUCCUCGUCUUCACCGGCUCCACUCUUGGUUAUCUCGUGCCUUUACUUGUGCAAGCUUAUUUGAGUUAUAUCCCUUGCUUUCUUGUGUGUUUGUUAUUGUUGCAUCAUAUAGGUUGCUCAUCUAGUUGCAUAUCUAGACAACCUACUUUGAUGCAAAGUUUAAAUUGGUAAAGAAAAGCUAAAAAUUGUUAGUUGCCUAUUCACCCCCCCUCUAGUCAACUAUAUCGAUCCUUUCACUAGGGUUUGAGAGGAGAUGGUGCUGGUGAAGAUGUUGAUGGAGAUUGACCCCCUCCCGAUGAGAGGAUCGAUGGUGAUGAUUUCCCCCUCCCGGAGGGCGGCAGAACAGCUCCCUCGGAGCCCUAGAUUGGUUCCGCCUCGUGGCGGCGGCGCUUCGUCCCGAAAGCUUUCUUAUGAUUUUUUCUAGGGCAAAAGACACCUUAUACCAAAAGAUGGGCAUCGGGGGGCUUCCAGGUGGCCCAUGAGGCAGGGGGCGCGCCCUCCACCCUCGUGGACGGUGGGUGGCCCCCCUCUGGUGCUUUCUUCGCCUAAUAUUUUUAAUAUAUUUCAAAACAGACUUUCGUGGAGUUUCAGGACUUUUGGAGUUGUGCAUAAUAGGUCUAUAAUAUUUGCUCCUUUUCUAGCCCAGAAUUCCAGCUGCCGGCAUUCUCCCUCUUCAUGUAAACCUUGUAAAAUAAGAGAGAAAAGGCAUAAGUAUUGUGACAUUAUGUGUAGUAACAACCCAUAAUGCAAUAAAUAUCGAUAUAAAAGCAUGAUGCAAAAUGGACGUAUCAUCCAUCCGCCUCUUAUGUACCUAAGGGGCGACGGCCGAUUGAACAACACACAAUCGAUCAAAUUCAUCUACCACUUUUUAUCUUUUAUCUUUUCUCCUUAACCCUAGUUCUUCUUCUUCUCGUUCUUUGCUCGUUCUUCGUUUGCAGGGCGGCGAUCUACGAGGCCCUAGGGGCAAUCAGGUCGACCUAGGGCAGCCCACACUAGUAGAAAAAGGCCCAUUAGUCCCGGUUCCAUAGGGCCUUCACCCCUCAUCACUGCUCAAUUUAACCUCUAAUCUCUAAUCACCCCUCAUCACUGCCCAAUUUAACCUCUAAUCUCUAAUCACCCCUCAUCACUGCUCAAUUUAACCUGUAAUCUCUAAUCACCCCUCAUCAUUCCAAAUCAUCUAACUUCCCGGCCGGUCCCCCAUCCUCUCACUACUCCAGCCUGAGCACGCUUAACUUCCGGAUUCUAUUCCCCCUCGUUUCCAAGUUGCACUUGUUGUUUUCCUGACAAUAGUAAGAUGUCAAUCCUAUUAACCCUCAAGAGUUUACCUUGAGCAUGAAGUCACACGUUUCACUGUUUGAGUUUGAAACUAUUAUUCUAAAAAACAGUAAUUAUUUAGUAACACUAAUAUUUCUCAAAUAAGUAGUUUGACCAUUGUUUGACCACAGAUUGACCAUAGUUUGACCAGAUUUGACCAAAAUUCAAAAAAACUGAAAUAAUUAUUUAGUAACACUAAUAUUCUUGAAUAAUUAUUUAGUAACACUAAUACUUCUUGAAUAAGUAGUUUGACCAUAAUUUGACCAGAUUUGACCAAACUUCAAAAAAACUGAAAUAAUUAUUUAGUAACACUAAUAUUCUUGAAUAAUUAUUUAGUAACACUAAUACUUCUUGAAUAAGUAGUUUGACCACAGUUUGACCAGAUUUAACCAAAAUAAAAAAAUGAAAUCUGAGCAUAUCUUUUUUUCCUUUAAGAAUUUGAGGAUUCUAAAAAUUUGCAAACAGGCCUAUGACUGUCAAAAUCGGAUGCGGAUUUUCAUGCUGAACAUUUUGAUAUACUAUACAUUUUUUCCGACAUCGUAUGCAAAAGUUAUAGCCGUUUUACUUUUUCCCUACACUUUUUGCAAAACAUGUCCAAAUUUAAGUUUUUAAAUUUUCCUAACUAGUAGAUGAAGUAAUAUAACUAAAUCUCGAAGGAUUUUAUUUUUUGAAGUUUUUACCAUUUUCUUUUGUUUUUUCAAAACUGAAAUGACGAUACGGGGGGGUAGAGUUUGAGACACGAACCCCUUUAGUCCUGGUUUGAGACAGGAACCGGGACUAAAGGGCAUCGCAUCCUUUAAUCCCGGUUCGUAUCUCAAACCGGGUCUAAAGGUCUAAUCUUUAGUCCCGGUUUGAGACACGAACCGGGACUAAAGGGCAUCGCACCCUUUAGUUCCAGUUCGUUUCUCAAACCGGGACUAAAGGGCCCAUUUGAACCAGGACUAAUGCCUUUAGCGGCUCGAACCGGGACUAAUGCUCACAUUAGUCUCGGUUCAUAAUGCAACCGGGACUAAUGUGUAUAUUGCGCUGUGACCAAAGCCUUGUUUUCUAGUAGUGCCAUACCCGCCGCGAGCCCUGACGGGGUCCCUCCCGGGCAAGUGGGGCUUCGGGUCUACAAAAGCGCCCGCCGGAUUGCUUGCGUACCGCGCUUCCGGACGGGUAUAGCUUCUACCUCAGAUCCGAAGGCAAGAUCUUCGUUGCCAAGAACGGGUCCUUUCUGGAGAAGGAGUUUCUCUCGAAAGAAUUGAGUGGGAGGAAAGUGGAACUUGAUGAGGUGAUAGUCACCCCUUCUGAACCGGAAAGUAGCGCAGCGCGAGAAAAUGUUCCUGUGGUGCCUACACCGGCUGGGGAGGAAGUUAAUGAUGAUGAUCAUGAAGCUUCGGAUCAAGUUACUGAACUUCGUAGGUCCACAAGGACACGUUCCGCACCAGAGUGGUACGGCAACCCUGUCCUGGAAAUCAUGUUGUUAGACAACGGUGAACCUUCGAACUAUGAAGAAGCGAUGGCGGGCCCGGAUUCCGACAAAUGGCUAGAAGCCAUGAAAUCCGAGAUAGGAUCCAUGUAUGAAAACGAAGUAUGGACUUUGACUGACUUGCCCGAUGAUCGGCGAGCCAUAGAAAACAAAUGGAUCUUUAAGAAGAAGACGGACGCGGAUGGUAAUGUGACCAUCUAUAAGGCUCGACUCGUCGCUAAGGGUUAUCGACAAGUUCAAGGGGUUGACUACGAUGAGACUUUCUCACCCGUAGCGAAGCUGAAGUCCGUCCGAAUCAUGUUAGCAAUUGCCGCAUACUAUGAUUAUGAGAUAUGGCAGAUGGACGUCAAAACGGCAUUAUUUAACGGCUUCCUUAAGGAAGAGUUGUAUAUGAUGCAGCCGGAAGGUUUUGUCGAUCCUAAGAAUGCUAACAAAGUAUGCAAGCUCCAGCGCUCAAUCUAUGGGCUGGUGCAAGCAUCUCGGAGUUGGAACAUUCGCUUUGAUGAGAUGAUCAAAGCGUUUGGGUUUACACAGACUUAUGGAGAAGCCUGUGUUUACAAGAAAGUGAGUGGGAGCUCUGUAGCAUUUCUCAUAUUAUAUGUGGAUGACAUACUAUUGAUGGGAAAUGAUAUAGAAUUCUUGGAAAGUAUGAAGGCCUAUUUGAAUAAGUGUUUUUCAAUGAAGGACCUUGGAGAAGCUGCUUAUAUAUUAGGCAUCAAGAUCUAUAGAGAUAGAUCGAGACGCCUCAUUGGUCUUUCACAGAGUACAUACCUUGACAAGAUAUUGAAGAAGUUCAAUAUGGAUCAGUCCAAGAAGGGGUUCUUGCCUGUAUUGCAAGGUGUGCAGUUGAGCACGGCUCAAUGCCCGACCACGGCAGAAGAUAGAGAAAAGAUGAGUGUCAUCCCCUAUGCCUCGGCCAUAGGGUCUAUUAUGUAUGCCAUGCUAUGUACCAGACCUGAUGUAAACCUUGCCGUAAGUUUGGUAGGAAGGUACCAAAGUAAUCCUGGCAUGAAACACUGGACAGCGGUCAAGAAUAUCCUGAAGUACCUGAAGAGGACUAAGGACAUGUUUCUCGUUUAUGGAGGUGACGAAGAGCUCGUCGUAAAGGGUUACGUCGACGCUAGCUUCGACAAAGAUCUGGAUGACUCGAAGUCACAAACCGGAUACGUGUAUAUUUUGAAUGGAGGAGCAGUAAGCUGGUGCAGUUGCAAGCAAAGCGUCGUGGCGGGAUCUACAUGUGAAGCGGAGUACAUGGCAGCCUCGGGGGCAGCACAGGAAGCAGUCUGGAUGAAGGAGUUCAUUACCGACCUAGGGGUGAUUCCCAAUGCGUCGGGCCCGAUGACUCUCUUCUGUGACAACACUGGAGCUAUUGCCCUUGCGAAGGAGCCCAGAUUUCACAGGAAGACCAGGCAUAUCAAGCGUCGCUUCAACUCCAUUCGUGAAAGUGUUCAAAAUGGAGACAUAGAUAUUUGUAAAGUACAUACGGACCUGAAUGUAGCAGAUCCGUUGACUAAACCCCUCCCUAGGGCAAAACAUGAUCAACACCAGGACGCAAUGGGUGUUCGAUUCAUCACAAUGUAACUAGAUUAUUGACUCUAGUGCAAGUGGGAGACUGUUGGAAAUAUGCCCUAGAGGCUAUAAUAAAUGGUUAUUAUUAUAUCUCUUUGUUCAUGGUAAUUGUCUAUUGUUCAUGCUAUAAUUGUAUUGUCCGGAAAUCGUAAUACAUGUGUGAAUACAUAGACCACAACGUGUCCCUAGUAAGCCUCUAGUUGACUAGCUCGUUGAUCAACAGAUAGUCAUGGUUUCCUGACUAUGGACAUUGGAUGUCAUUGAUAACGGGAUCACAUCAUUAGGAGAAUGAUGUGAUGGACAAGACCCAAUCCUAAGCAUAGCAUAAAAGAUCGUGUAGUUUCGUUUGCUAGAGCUUUUCCAAUGUCAAGUAUCUUUUCCUUAGACCAUGAGAUCGUGCAACUCCCGGAUACCGUAGGAGUGCUUUGGGUGUGCCAAACGUCACAACGUAACUGGGUGACUAUAAAGGUGCACUACGGGUAUCUCUGAAAGUGUCUGUUGGGUUGGCACGGAUCGAGACUGGGAUUUGUCACUCCGUGUGACGGAGAGGUAUCUCUGGGCCCACUCGGUAAUGCAUCAUCAUAAUGAGCUCAAUGUGACUAAGGCGUUAGUCACGGGUCAUGCAUUGCGGUACGAGUAAAGAGACUUGCCGGUAACGAGAUUGAACAAGGUAUUGGGAUACCGACGAUCGAAUCUCGGGCAAGUAACAUACCGAUUGACAAAGGGAAUUGCAUACGGGAUUGAUUGAAUCCUCGACAUCGUGGUUCAUCCGAUGAGAUCGUCGUGGAACAUGUGGGAGCCAACAUGGGUAUCCAGAUCCCGCUGUUGGUUAUUGACCGGAGAGGCGUCUCGGUCAUGUCUGCAUGUCUCCCGAACCCGUAGGGUCUACACACUUAAGGUUCAGUGACGCUAGGGUUGUAGAGAUAUGUGUAUGCGGAAAUCCGAAAGUUGUUCGGAGUCCCGGAUGAGAUCCCGGACGUCACGAGGAGUUCUGGAAUGGUCCGGAGGUGAAGAAUUAUAUAUAGGAAGUCAAGUUUCGGUCACCGGGAAAGUUUCGGGGGUUACCGGUAUUGUACCGGGACCACCGGAAGGGUCCCGGGGGUCCACCGGGUGGGGCCACCUAUCCCGGAGGGCCCCGUGGGCUGAAGUAGGAAGGGAACCAGCCCCUAGUGGGCUGGGCGCCCCCCCAUGGGCCUCCCCCCUGCGCCUAGGUUUGGAAACCCUAGGGUGGGGGGCGCCCCACUUGCCUUGGGGGGCAAGUAUCCCCCCCGGCCGCCGCCCCCCAUCCAGAUGGGAUCCUGGCGGGUGCCCCCCUCCCAGGGGGCCUAUAUAAAGGGGGGGGAGGGAGGGCAGCAACAUCACAGCCUUGGGCGCCUCCCUCCUCCCCUGCUACACCUCUCUCUCUCGUAGAAGCUCGGCGAAGCCCUGCCGACAUCCCGCUGCAUCCACCACCACGCCGUCGUGCUGCUGGAUCUCCAUCAACCUCUCCUUCCCCCUUGCUGGAUCAAGAAGGAGGAGACGUCGCUGCACCGUACGUGUGUUGAACGCGGAGGUGCCGUCCGUUCGGCACUCGGUCAUCGAUGAUUUGGAUCACGGCGAGUACGACUCCGUCAUCCACGUUCAUUGGAACGCUUCCGCUCGCGAUCUACAAGGGUAUGUAGAUGCACUCCUUUCCCCUCGUUGCUAGUAUACUCCAUAGAUGCAUCUUGGUGAGCGUAGGAAAAUUUUAAAAUUAUGCUACGAUUUCCAACAGUGGCAUCAUGAGCCAGGUUUAUGCGUAGUUACUAUGCACGAGUAGAACACAAAGCAGUUGUGGGCGUUGAUGUUGCCAAUUCUUCUUGCCGCUACUAGUCGUAUCUUGUUUCGGCGGUAUUGUAGGAUGAAGCGGCCCGGACCGACCUUACACGUACGCUUACGUGAGACAGGUUCCACUGACUGACAUGCACUAGUUGCAUAAGGUGGCUAGCGGGUGUCUGUCUCUCCUACUUUAGUCGGAACGGAUUCGAUGAAAAGGGUCCUUAUGAAGGGUAAAUAGAAAUUGGCAAAUCACGUUGUGGUCAUACGUAGGUAAGAAACGUUCUUGCUAGAAACCUACAAGCCACGUAAAAACUUGCAACAACAAUUAGAGGACGUCUAACUUGUUUUUGCAGCAUGUGCUAUGUGAUGUGAUAUGGCCAGAAGAUGUGAUGAAUGAUAUAUGUGAUGUAUGAGAUUGAUCAUAUUCUUGUAAUAGAAAUCAUGACUUGCAUGUCGAUGAGUAUGACAACCGGCAGGAGCCAUAGGAGUUGUCUUUAUUAUUUUGUAUGACCUGCGUGUCAUUGAAUAAACGCCAUGUAAAUUACUUUACUUUAUUGCUAAACGCGUUAGCCAUAGAAGUAGAAGUAACCGUUGGCGUGACAACUUCAUGAAGACACAAUGAUGGAGAUCAUGGUGUCAUGCCGGUGACGAAGAUGAUCAUGGUGCCCCGAAGAUGGAGAUCAAAGGAGCAAAUGAUAUUGGCCAUAUCAUGUCACUAUUUGAUUGCAUGUGAUGUUUAUCAUGUUUUUGCAUCUUAUUUGCUUAGAACGACGGUAGUAAGUAAGAUGAUCCCUUAUGAUAAUUUCAAGAAAGUGUUCCCCCUAACUGUGCACCGUUGCGAAGGUUUGUUGUUUCGAAGCACCACGUGAUGAUCGGGUGUGAUAGAUUCUAACGUUCGCAUACAACGGGUGUUGACGAGCCUAGCAUGUACAGACAUGGCCUCGGAACACACGCAAUACACUUAGGUUAACUUGACGAGCCUAGCAUGUACAGACAUGGCCUCGGAACAAGGAGGACCGAAAGGUCGAGCAUGAGUCGUAUAGAAGAUACGAUCAACAUGGAGAUGUUCACCGAUCUUGACUAGUCCGUCUCACGUGAUGAUCGGACAUGGCCUAGUUAAACUCGGAUCAUGUUUCACUUAGAUGACUAGAGGGAUGUCUAUCUGAGUGGGAGUUCAUUAAAUAAUUUAAUUAUAUGAACUUAAUUAUCAUGAACUUAGUCUAAAAUCUUUACACUAUGUCUUGUAGAUCAAAUGGCCCACGUUGUCCUCAAUUUCAACGCGUUCCUAGAGAAAACCAAGCUGAAAGAUGAUGGCAGCAACUAUACGGACUGGGUCCGGAACCUGAGGAUCACCUCAUAGCAGCCAAGAAAGAUAAUGUCCUAGAAGCACCGCUAGGUGAAGCACCAAUCCCAGAGAACCAAGACGUUAUGAACGCUUGGCAGCAGCGUGCUGAUGAUUACUCCCUCGUUCAGUGCGGCAUGCUUUACAGCUUAGAACCGGGUCUCCAAAAGCGUUUUGAGAAACAUGGAGCAUAUGAGAUGUUCGAGGAGCUGAAAAUGGUUUUCCAACCUCAUGCCCGGGUCGAGAGAUAUGAAGUCUCCGACAAGUUCUUCAGCUGUAAAAUGGAGGAAAAUAGUUCUGUUAGUGAGCACAUACUCAGAAUGUCUGGGUUGCACAACCGCUUGACUCAGCUGGGAGUUAAUCUCCCGGAUGACGCGGUCAUUGACAGAAUCCUCCAGUCGCUUCCACCAAGCUACAAGAGCUUUGUGAUGAACUUCAAUAUGCAGGGGAUGGAAAAGACCAUUCCUGAGGUAUAUUCAAUGCUGAAAUCAGCGGAGGUGGAGAUCAGAAAAGAACAUCAAGUGUUGAUGGUGAAUAAAACCACUAAGUUCAAGAAGGGCAAGGGUAAGAAGAACUUCAAGAAGGACGGCAAGGGAGUUGCCGCGCCCGGUAAGCCAGUUACUGGGAAGAAGUCAAAGAAUGGACCCAAGCCUGAAACUGAGUGCUUUUAUUGCAAGGGAAGUGGUCACUGGAAGCGGAACUGCCCCAAAUACUUAGCGGACAAGAAGGCCGGCAACGCCAAAGGUAUAUGUGAUAUACAUGUAAUUGAUGUGUACCUUACCAGUACUCGUAGUAGCUCCUGGGUAUUUGAUACCGGUGCGGUUGCUCAUAUUUGUAACUCAAAACAGGAACUACGGAAUAAACGGAGACUGGCGAAGGACGAGGUGACGAUGCGCGUCGGGAAUGGUUCCAAGGUUGAUGUGAUCGCCGUCGGCACGCUACCUCUGCAUCUACCUACGGGAUUAGUUUUAAACCUCAAUAAUUGUUAUUUAGUGCCAGCUUUGAGCAUGAACAUUGUAUCUAGAUCUCGUUUAAUUCGAGAUGGCUACUCAUUUAAAUCCGAGAAUAAUGGUUGUUCUAAUUAUAUGAGAGAUAUGUUUUAUGGUCAUGCCCCGCUGGUUAAUGGUUUAUUCUUGAUGAAUCUCGAACGUGAUGUUACACAUAUUCAUAGUGUGAAUACCAAAAGAUGUAAAGUUGAUAACGAUAGUCCCACAUACUUGUGGCACUGCCGCCUUGGUCACAUUGGUGUCAAGCGCAUGAAGAAGCUCCAUGCAGAUGGACUUUUGGAGUCUCUUGAUUACGAAUCAUUUGACACAUGCGAACCAUGCCUCAUGGGUAAGAUGACCAAGACUCCGUUCUCCGGAACAAUGGAGCGAGCAACCAACUUAUUGGAAAUCAUACAUACCGAUGUGUGCGGUCCAAUGAGUGUUGAGGCUCGCGGAGGAUAUCGUUAUGUUCUCACUCUCACUGAUGACUUAAGUAGAUAUGGGUAUGUCUACCUAAUGAAACACAAGUCUGAAACCUUUGAAAAGUUCAAGGAAUUUCAGAGUGAAGUUGAGAAUCAACGUGACAGGAAAAUAAAAUUCUUACGAUCAGAUCGUGGUGGAGAAUAUUUAAGUCACGAGUUUGGUACACACUUAAGGAAAUGUGGAAUAGUUUCACAACUCACGCCGCCUGGAACACCUCAGAGAAACGGUGUGUCCGAACGUCGUAAUCGCACUCUAUUGGAUAUGGUGCGAUCUAUGAUGUCUCUUACCGAUUUACCACUCUCAUUUUGGGGCUAUGCUUUAGAGACUGCCGCAUUCACUUUAAAUAGGGCUCCGUCGAAAUCCGUUGAGACGACACCGUAUGAAUUAUGGUUUGGGAAGAAACCUAAGCUGUCGUUUCUAAAAGUUUGGGGAUGCGAUGCUUAUGUCAAGAAACUUCAACCUGAAAAGCUCGAACCCAAGUCGGAGAAAUGCGUCUUCAUAGCAUACCCUAAGGAAACCAUUGGGUAUACCUUCUACCUCAGAUCCGAAGGCAAGAUCUUCGUUGCCAAGAACGGGUCCUUUCUGGAGAAGGAGUUUCUCUCGAAAGAAUUGAGUGGGAGGAAAGUGGAACUUGAUGAGGUGAUAGUCACCCCUUCUGAACCGGAAAGUAGCGCAGCGCGAGAAAAUGUUCCUGUGGUGCCUACACCGGCUGGGGAGGAAGUUAAUGAUGAUGAUCAUGAAGCUUCGGAUCAAGUUACUGAACUUCGUAGGUCCACAAGGACACGUUCUGCACCAGAGUGGUACGGCAACCCUGUCCUGGAAAUCAUGUUGUUAGACAACGGUGAACCUUCGAACUAUGAAGAAGCGAUGGCGGGCCCGGAUUCCGACAAAUGGCUAGAAGCCAUGAAAGCCGAGAUAGGAUCCAUGUAUGAAAACGAAGUAUGGACUUUGACUGACUUGCCCGAUGAUCGGCGAGCCAUAGAAAACAAAUGGAUCUUUAAGAAGAAGACGGACGCGGAUGGUAAUGUGACCAUCUAUAAGGCUCGACUCGUCGCUAAGGGUUAUCGACAAGUUCAAGGGGUUGACUACGAUGAGACUUUCUCACCCGUAGCGAAGCUGAAGUCCGUCUGAAUCAUGUUAGCAAUUGCCGCAUACUAUGAUUAUGAGAUAUGGCAGAUGGACGUCAAAACGGCAUUAUUUAACGGCUUCCUUAAGGAAGAGUUGUAUAUGAUGCAGCCGGAAGGUUUUGUCGAUCCUAAGAAUGCUAACAAAGUAUGCAAGCUCCAGCGCUCAAUCUAUGGGCUGGUGCAAGCAUCUCGGAGUUGGAACAUUUGCUUUGAUGAGAUGAUCAAAGCGUUUGGGUUUACACAGACUUAUGGAGAAGCCUGUGUUUACAAGAAAGUGAGUGGGAGCUCUGUAGCAUUUCUCAUAUUAUAUGUGGAUGACAUACUAUUGAUGGGAAAUGAUAUAGAAUUCUUGGAAAGUAUAAAGGCCUAUUUGAAUAAGUGUUUUUCAAUGAAGGACCUUGGAGAAGCUGCUUAUAUAUUAGGCAUCAAGAUCUAUAGAGAUAGAUCGAGACGCCUCAUUGGUCUUUCACAGAGUACAUACCUUGACAAGAUAUUGAAGAAGUUCAAUAUGGAUCAGUCCAAGAAGGGGUUCUUGCCUGUAUUGCAAGGUGUGCAGUUGAGCACGGCUCAAUGCCCGACCACGGCAGAAGAUAGAGAAAAGAUGAGUGUCAUCCCCUAUGCCUCGGCCAUAGGGUCUAUUAUGUAUGCCAUGCUAUGUACCAGACCUGAUGUAAACCUUGCCGUAAGUUUGGUAGGAAGGUACCAAAGUAAUCCUGGCAUGAAACACUGGACAGCGGUCAAGAAUAUCCUGAAGUACCUGAAGAGGACUAAGGACAUGUUUCUCGUUUAUGGAGGUGACGAAGAGCUCGUCGUAAAGGGUUACGUCGACGCUAGCUUCGACACAGAUCUGGAUGACUCGAAGUCACAAACCGGAUACGUGUAUAUUUUGAAUGGAGGAGCAGUAAGCUGGUGCAGUUGCAAGCAAAGCGUCGUGGCGGGAUCUACAUGUGAAGCGGAGUACAUGGCAGCCUCGGAGGCAGCACAGGAAGCAGUCUGGAUGAAGGAGUUCAUUACCGACCUAGGGGUGAUUCCCAAUGCGUCGGGCCCGAUGACUCUCUUCUGUGACAACACUGGAGCUAUUGCCCUUGCGAAGGAGCCCAGAUUUCACAGGAAGACCAGGCAUAUCAAGCGUCGCUUCAACUCCAUUCGUGAAAGUGUUCAAAAUGGAGACAUAGAUAUUUGUAAAGUACAUACGGACCUGAAUGUAGCAGAUCCGUUGACUAAACCCCUCCCUAGGGCAAAACAUGAUCAACACCAGGACGCAAUGGGUGUUCGAUUCAUCACAAUGUAACUAGAUUAUUAACUCUAGUGCAAGUGGGAGACUGUUGGAAAUAUGCCCUAGAGGCUAUAAUAAAUGGUUAUUAUUAUAUCUCUUUGUUCAUGGUAAUUGUCUAUUGUUCAUGCUAUAAUUGUAUUGUCCGGAAAUCGUAAUACAUGUGUGAAUACAUAGACCACAACGUGUCCCUAGUAAGCCUCUAGUUGACUAGCUCGUUGAUCAACAGAUAGUCAUGGUUUCCUGACUAUGGACAUUGGAUGUCAUUGAUAACGGGAUCACAUCAUUCCUAAGCAUAGCAUAAAAGAUCGUGUAGUUUCGUUUGCUAGAGCUUUUCCAAUGUCAAGUAUCUUUUCCUUAGACCAUGAGAUCGUGCAACUCCCGGAUACCGUAGGAGUGCUUUGGGUGUGCCAAACGUCACAACGUAACUGGGUGACUAUAAAGGUGCACUACGGGUAUCUCUGAAAGUGUCUGUUGGGUUGGCACGGAUCGAGACUGGGAUUUGUCACUCCGUGUGACGGAGAGGUAUCUCUGGGCCCACUCGGUAAUGCAUCAUCAUAAUGAGCUCAAUGUGACUAAGGCGUUAGUCACGGGAUCAUGCAUUGCGGUACGAGUAAAGAGACUUGCCGGUAACGAGAUUGAACAAGGUAUUGGGAUACCGACGAUCGAAUCUCGGGCAAGUAACAUACCGAUUGACAAAGGGAAUUGCAUACGGGAUUGAUUGAAUCCUCGACAUCGUGGUUCAUCCGAUGAGAUCAUCGUGGAACAUGUGGGAGCCAACAUGGGUAUCCAGAUCCCGCUGUUGGUUAUUGACCGGAGAGGCGUCUCGGUCAUGUCUGCAUGUCUCCCGAACCCGUAGGGUCUACACACUUAAGGUUCGGUGACGCUAGGGUUGUAGAGAUAUGUGUAUGCGGAAAUCCGAAAGUUGUUCGGAGUCCCGGAUGAGAUCCCGGACGUCACGAGGAGUUCUGGAAUGGUCCGGAGGUGAAGAAUUAUAUAUAGGAAGCCAAGUUUCGGCCACCGGGAAAGUUUCGGGGGUUACCGGUAUUGUACCGGGACCACCGGAAGGGUCCCGGGGGUCCACCGGGUGGGGCCACCUAUCCCGGAGGGCCCCGUGGGCUGAAGUGGGAAGGGAACCAGCCCCUAGUGGGCUGGGCGCCCCCCAUGGGCCUCCCCCCUGCGCCUAGGGUUGGAAACCCUUGGGUGGGGGGGCGCCCCACUUGCCUUGGGGGGCAAGUAUCCCCCCCGGCCGCCGCCCCCCAUCCAGAUGGGAUCCUGGCGGGUGCCCCCCUCCCAGGGGGCCUAUAUAAAGGGGGGGAGGGAGGGCAGCAACAUCACAGCCUUGGGCGCCUCCCUCCUCCCCUGCUACACCUCUCUCUCUCGUAGAAGCUCGGCGAAGCCCUGCCGACAUCCCGCUGCAUCCACCACCACGCCGUCGUGCUGCUGGAUCUCCAUCAACCUCUCCUUCCCCCUUGCUGGAUCAAGAAGGAGGAGACGUCGCUGCACCGUACGUGUGUUGAACGCGGAGGUGCCGUCCGUUCGGCACUCGGUCAUCGGUGAUUUGGAUCACGGCGAGUACGACUCCGUCAUCCACGUUCAUUGGAACGCUUCCGCUCGCGAUCUACAAGGGUAUGUAGAUGCACUCCUUUCCCCUCGUUGCUAGUAUACUCCAUAGAUGCAUCUUGGUGAGCGUAGGAAAAUUUUAAAAUUAUGCUACGAUUACCAACAGUUCGUGUGCGAACACACUUUUUGGCGACUCCGCUGGGGACGAAACUUUGAACGGUCUCCAGCCCGUUCUUGCUACGAAGAGAGCGUCAUCUAGGUAUUGCAAUCUACAAAGGUAAUAUGAAUACCCAAUUCACUUAUGUAGAUGCAAAAAAUGCAUAUGUUGUUGCUAGAUCGUUUAAUCAGCAUAAUGUGUCGGCUAGCCCUAAUUUUAUCAAUCAAGCAUCUAGUUAUGCGCAACAGCCGAUUUAGAAUAAUCUUCAUGCUUCUACCUCAUAUAUAAUUUUAGCUACAUGGAACAUAUGUAUACUAACUACCAUGCAUCGGCAGCCCCACAAAUCCAUAUGUCGAUGAACAACAUGAUGAGUUCCGUUAAUCAAGUUGAAACACGUCACAUAGGAACUUCCGAUAGUACGCAACAAAGUGUUUCACCUUUUUAUUGAUCGGCAACUAGCUUGCAAUAUGUGACGCCCCCGAUUUGACCGUACACUAAUCAUACACGCAAACGUGUACGAUCAAGAUCAGGGACUCACGGGAAGAUAUCACAACACAACUCUACAAAUAAAAUAAGUCAUACAAGCACAGUUAAAAUCAGCACGAUAAAGAUAUAGCUGAUCAGGCUAGGGAUGACGUGAUCGAGUACAAACUCGUAAGCAAAGAAGAUUACUAAGAGUUGUUUAAUCGAGAUGCGAACUCGAUUCAGUUAUCGAUGUCCUUGAGUGAUUAAUAACUCGGAGCCCGUGAAAAUUGGAAUCAAUGAGAAUGUAAUACUUGAUGGAGAACUCAUGAGAAGUUAUGUAGUUCCGUGAUAAUCUCGAGAUACCAGGGGGUAAUACUCGACGACAAGCCAAAGUAGAGGUUGGACUGGGGUAUUGCUCUGCAGAAGACAAGUGCAUAAACUUGUACGAGAAAUGGUAUUUAAAGGCGAACAUGGUCGGAACCACGAUUGCAAAAGGCCACAUCCCAGAUAUAAGAUGAACUUAUACCAAGGGAAAUAAUUAAUUUAAGAGAAGUUUUAAUGAUAAGAUCUACAUCAUGUCCAUGGGCAUGAACACAAAGUUCAAGGUCGACUCCCACUUCUCCAAUGCAUAACCUUCCAUUCACUUCUCACUUUCCAUGAAGUUGUAGCGUUGAAAUUUUAUCUGACAAAAAGCCAGUAGAGUAUAACCCGCAUAACCUUCGGGGUCACACAAAUUAGGGAAGGCAUAGGUUCAACCCAUCGGGGCAUCUUAGGAACGUAUACCACAAACUGUAGGAGUAGUUAGCACACGCUCGAAAGUAGAGCACGGUUGACAAGCAGAGGAUACAAGUCUCCAAAGAAAAAAAAUGAUUACCAACAGGCAUUAUGUAUCCAAGGAAAACUCACAAGGUUAUUGAAUAUGAAAGACACUGUCGGAUAAUAAUCCAACAAGGGGUCUUGUGGUCUACAACGGAGUUGAUGCGAGUAUCGGUACUCUAUCAGAGGAAGAAGGAACAAAGGGGCAUCGGAUUAUAGAAACAACUGACUAAUUCAAAGCUGAAAUGCAAAGGAAUUAUCAUUUCCAAAUCAAGGGAUCAGAAGCCAACGGUCUGAUUAAGAAUGUAUAAGUUGAAUAGACUUAGGGGUACAAUCGACAGCAACUAGAUUGGUCGAUAACCAGCUCAUGUUCAAAAUGACAUCUGAGCUGGAAAGAUAAUUUAAAAGGAUCAACUGAUGAUUGCGUGCAUUCGCACUCAUGUUGAAUCAAUAGGAUCAAAAUGACGGUGCCUAAGGAUACUAACAAAUAUUGCCAGACAUAUGGAAAGCAUCCAUAAUGCAAGCAGACAAGUAUUGCAGAGCAAUAAGCUACUAAGGAUUUUUGGAGGAUCGAAUAGUAUUUCGAAGACCAUUGUGAAACACAUGAACAAGUGGGGAUGAACGGAUACUUGAUAAGGGCGAGAAAUUAUCCAUAGGGGUAUUCAGGUGGCAAGGAACUGCAAGGCAGUAGGCACAAAAUAUUGUCGGAACAAUAAAAAGGAUUUCAAGGUAUCUUGUAAUAACAAGAUCAACUGGGAAUAAAAGUAAGAACGACAAGUGUAUGUAUUUAUCCAUAGGGAUUUAUCGAUGGGAGUGAAUUGCAAAAGCGAUGGCACAUAGUCUCGAGAGCACAUCAUAGAGUAUCUUCGGAAUCUUCUGGUGCAGCAGGUGGUCAUCGGUAACACGGAGCUCUCCAGGUGGAAGUGAUCACGAGAUCCUAAUCUUAGAGUUAGCAAAAUUCAUUUAACCCGAGUAGAAGAGAGUUAAGAGUCCCGGAGUAAAGGUCGAGAAGUAAAAGAUACUAAUACCACCCAAAUGGCGACGUGGGCCCAUAAGGCACACAACCAUGUUAGUAAAAGUUUUCGUAAUGUCUAGACUCGACUUCGGCCAAGGAGUGUGGAAGGGGGAUUCCUACAGGCAGUCGGCUCUGAUACCAACUUGUGACGCCCCCGAUUUGACCGUACACUAAUCAUACACGCAAACGUGUACGAUCAAGAUCAGGGACUCACGGGAAGAUAUCACAACACAACUCUACAAAUAAAAUCAGUCAUACAAGCAUCAUAUUACAAGCCAGGGGCCUCGAGGGCUCGAAUACAAGAGCUCGACCAUAGACAAGUCAGCGGAAGCAACAAUAUCUGAGUACAGACAUAAGUUAAACAAGUUUGCCUUAAGAAGGCUAGCACAAACUGGGGUACAGAUCGAAAGAGGCGCAGGCCUCCUGCCUGGGAUCCUCCUAAACUACUCCUGGUCGUCGGCGGCGGCCUGGACGUAGUAGUAGGCACCCUCCGUGUAGUAGGGGUCGUCGUCGACGGAGGCGUCUGGCUCCUGGGCUCCAGCAUCUGGUUGCGACAACCAGAUAGAAGAGAAAGGGGGAAAAGAGGGGGAAAAGCAACCGUGAGUACUCAUCCAAAGUACUCGCAAGCAAGGAGCUACACUACAUAUGCAUGGGUAUAUGUGUAAAGAGGCAAUAUCGGUGGACUGAACUGCAGAAUGCCAGAAUAAGAGGGGGAUAGCUAAUCCUGUCGAAGACUACGCUUCUGGCCACCUCCAUCUUGCAUCAUGUAGAAGAGCGUAGAUUGAAGUCCUCCAAGUAGCAUCACAUAGCAUAAUCCUACCCGGCGAUCCUCCCCUCGUCGCCCUGUGGGAAAGCGACCACCGGGUUGUCUCUGGAACUUGACUGGUGUGUUUUAUUAAGUAUCCGGUUCUAGUUGUCAUAAGGUCAAGGUAAACCCCAAGUCGUCCUGUUACCGAAGAUCACGGCUAUUCGAAUAGAUUAACUUCCCUGCAGGGGUGCACCACAUAACCCAACACGCUCGAUCUCCUUUGGCCGGACACACUUUUCUGGGUCAUGCCCGGCCUCGGAAGAUCAACACGUCGCAGCCCCAUCUAGGCACAACAGAGAGGUCAGCACGCCGGUCAAAAUCCUAUGCGCGCAGGGGUCUGGGCCCAUCGCCCAUUGCACACCUGCACGUUGCGUACGCGGCCGGAAGCAGACCUAGCCCCCUUAAUACAAGGGCAGGCUUACGGUCCAAUCCGGCGCGCGCCGCUCAGUCACUGACGUCACGAAGGCUUCGGCUGAUACCACGACGUCAGUGCCCAUAUCUUUCCCGCGUAGUUGGUUAGUGCGCAUAGACCAAAUGGCCAGACUCAGAUCAAAUACCCAGAACUCGUUAAGCGUGUUAUUUUGAAGUAACCGCGGACGCCGACCAAACAUGCCCUGUCGCUCCGCCACAAAGUAACAGUCGGGGGCCGUCAGGAACCCAGGCCCACCUCUACCGGGAUGGAGCCAUCUGUCCUUUCAGCCCCCACAUCGAAAUCACUUGCGGGUACUCUACGAGUCGACCCGUCUUUAGUCACCACUUGUAUCAUGUAAAUGUGUCUAAGUAUAUACCCGCGAUCACCUCCCAAGUGAUCACGGCCCGAUAGUAUAGCAUGGCAGACGGACAAGGAUGUAGGGCCACAGAUGAAUACUAGCAUCCUAUACCAAGCAUGUAGGAUUGCAGGUAAAGGUAACAACAGUGGUAGCAAAGACAGGCUAUGCAGCAAGGAUUAUCUGAAAGCAGUAACAUGCUACACUACUCUAAUGCAAGAAGUAGAGAGAAGAGUAGGCGAUAUCUGGUGAUCAAAGGGGGGGCUUGCCUGGAAGCUCAGCCGAGAAGGAGGGGUCGUCAACACCGUAGUCGUACUGGGUAGCAGCGGCGUCGGUCUCGGUGUCUAGCGAGAGAAGAGGGGGAAGAAACAAUAAAUAUAAAGCAGACAAUGUGUGACGAUGCAUGACAUGGCAAUGCGCGGCGCUAGGGGUGCCCUAACGCGGUAGGAGUGAUACCGACGAAGGGGGAAACAUCCGGGAAAGAAUUCCCGGUGUUUGACGUUUUCGGACGGAUGAACCGGAGGGGAAAGUUGCGUGUUCGCUAUGCUAGGAAUGUAUGGCGGAUGAACGGACUGCGUAUUCGGAUUCGUCUCAUCGUUCUGAGCAACUUUCAUGUACAAAGUUUUUCCAUCCGAGCUACGGAUUAUUUUAUAUUAAUUUUUAAAGAUUUAAAUCAUUUUUACAAUUUAAUAAAUUAAUUUAAUUCGAAAAUUAAUUAAUGCAUCAGCAUGACGUCAGCAGUCAACGUUGACCGUUGACCCGGUCAACCUGACAGGUGGGUCCCACCUAUCAGUGACUGUUAGCUAAUUAGUAGUAGUUAAUUAGGUUAAUUAGUUAUUAGGUUAAUUAAUUAAUAUUAACAGGAUUAAUUAAGUUAAUUAAUUAUCUUAAUUAAUUAUUUUUAUUAUUUAAUUAUUUAAUUAUCUAUUUAUUUUUUUAAUCUUUUUUUUUUUUAUUUUUCGUUCUCUGGCGUGGGGCCCGGCCGUCAAUGGGCCAGAGGGCCCUAACGGGCACGGGAGCUAGCGGGCAGCUGGCGGAGCCCUGUGAGCGCGUUGGCGCUGGCGGACGCCACGCCCGAAUCGGGCAAAAUCGGGGCGCGGGCGAGUGGCCCGCCGGAGCGCGGCCACGACGAGCCGGCCGCGGACGGCGCCGGCGAAGGGCGGCGGGUCGGCGAUGCUGGGCAACGACGAGGCCAUGACGAGGAGGGCAGCGAAGCUGCGGCUGUAGUAGGCGGCAACAAACGAGGCGAGCACCGGCGGCAGGGCGAGAGCGAGGCGAAGGACUCGGGCACGCGCGCGGCAGCAACCGGGGUGGUACGGAGCGCGAGCAGCGGCAGGGUGGCAGCGGGGUGGGGCUUACGAGCAGCGGGGCCUCGCGAGACGGCGUGCGGGUUAGGCAUGGCGACGGCGAAUGCAGGUGUAGGCAUUGGGCGUGCGCGGACGGAGACGACGCGUGGCAGGCGGGGCUGGACGGAGAGGGGUGGCAGAGGAGGAGCGGCUCACGGUCAGGGAAGAGCCGCGGUCGGCGUGGUGGCCGGGCUAGCAGGCCGCGACGGGAGCGNNNNNNNNNNNNNNNNNNNNNNNNNNNNNNNNNNNNNNNNNNNNNNNNNNNNNNNNNNNNNNNNNNNNNNNNNNNNNNNNNNNNNNNNNNNNNNNNNNNNNNNNNNNNNNNNNNNNNNNNNNNNNNNNNNNNNNNNNNNNNNNNNNNNNNNNNNNNNNNNNNNNNNNNNNNNNNNNNNNNNNNNNNNNNNNNNNNNNNNNNNNNNNNNNNNNNNNNNNNNNNNNNNNNNNNNNNNNNNNNNNNNNNNNNNNNNNNNNNNNNNNNNNNNNNNNNNNNNNNNNNNNNNNNNNNNNNGCGGGGGAAGGUCCGUCGACGAGGCUCGGGCGAGGUGGCCAGUGCGGCGCUGCCCCGAUCCGAUCGGGGGAGGGGAGAGGGGCGUGGGGGGUCGAGGGGAUCGUGGGGUGGGUUAGGGUUUGCGGUAGGGGGGCCUAGUAGGCCAGGGCGCGCGGGGGUGGGCCGAUAGGCCGCUCGGCCACACGGCCAACUGGGCCAGUCGGGGGAAGUUAUUUUUCUUUUUUUUGUUUGAUUGUCUUCUGUUUUUUGUGUGUUUUCUUUUCUUUUAUUUCACUUUUCUGUUUUGGCUAAUUGUUUUGGCAUCAAAUGAGUUUUGUAAAAUACGAGGGUUGGCCCACAAAUCACAGAACAAUAUAUCCUACCAUCAAAAACUAGUUUGGGGUAAACAUCCUUUCAUAUUUAUUUUGUAUUAAUAAAAAGGUUAUUAAAUAAUGCUUUCAGCCAUUGUUUGAGGUUGUUUAAGUCACUUAUCAAAUUUCAAUAAUGUUGUUUACAAUUUUAUCAUAGCCUCUGAUUUACCUACUAUUUAUUGAACAUUUUAGUUUUAAUAUUUGAAAACUUUUAUUGUUUGCUUGAUUUUAAAUUUUGAAUUUAAAUCGGUUUUGAACUAAUGCGAGAUUAAGAACAGUAACCGUGGUGACGUGGCAUCAUUAACAGAGGUUUAUUGUAGCUUGAUUAUCCGGGCGUCACACAAUAUGUUAAUCAAAACAUGCCGGUGGAUAGGGGAAUUGGCCAUGCUACUACUAGUUAUCCGGUCAAUUACCCUCAAUCAUCAUAUGCUACACCUCAUGCUACUAAUUUUUUGGCACCAUAUGCAACUAUAGGUAUUCAUAAUUCGGCUUCGCACCUUCACGUUAAUAGCCGAAUAAGUGAACAUUCUAUAGGAUCACAUGUGUCUUCACCUAGUAUCGUAGCAUACAAUGUUUUCCCUGCACAAUUACAGAAUUUUGGUGACAUCUCGUUACCGAAAGAGUCUAAAAGUGUUGGGGGGGGGGGGGCAAUUCUAUCCAGAUUGGGUCAUUAAGAAAAAAAUUUACGUCUUUUUGGGACGAAUGCAAUGUUGUUCUACAUGAAUUAAUAAAAGAGGGAAAGCCUAUUAAUUCUACUGCAAUCCAAGCUAGAUUAUGCCAAAAAGAGAAAGCAUUGGGUGUGGAUAGAAUUGUCAAAAAAGGUGGUGAUUCGGAUAACAAAGUUAAUUCGGCUAUUGAAAAGACCGAAUCAAAUAUUACGUAUGCCGAAUCUGUUCUAGAAAAACAGGACAACAAGGUGUUGGGGAGCUAUUCGAAAGAGGAACAACAUAUCGUUCAAGUAACACAACCAUCAUGCUCUCCGAACGUGUUUGAAAAGGUAUGUCUAGCAAAUGAUUUACCUAUCUUCCGAUUUGGUCGCAACUUUAUUGUUGAUGCUUCUAUAAGAAAAAUUCUCAUAAGUAAUUUUGAAAGACCAAUGAAAAAGGGAAAUUUACUUGUUAGCAAAUAAAACUGUUAUAGAGCAUAUUGGUCAACCUAUUGUGCCAUUUAUAAAGACUGAUAGUGACCUAUUAUUGCAGCCAAAGUUUUCCCCAUUGCUUUAUCAAAAUUUCAUAUCUAAUUGUGUAGCUUUGCUUGUUUCAUACUUGGUUUGCACUUGGUCUCAAUUGAGACAUGUGUAUUCUAACUAUUUUCGUUUCGGAAAUUUAAAGCCAAGGUCAAAUUCUUUUGAGAAAUCCGAUGCUAAUAUAAUAUCAUAUCCAAAUACAUCGGAGCUAUGGUGCAAAACACAAUGCAUAGCCGAAUGGGGAUAUUCCAAAUUUGAACCAUUCGUUUGCUUAACUGCAAAGCCGUUUGCACACCAAGAUCGGCUAGAAAACAAGAAGUAUACCUUCAAUUCAAGCAUGUGUGAUCAAAUAUUUGAUUUGUUGCUGAAAAAUAAUUACAUUAGAGUUCUUGAUCACCAUGUGAAGCCAUCAAUCCAAGGACGAAUGUAUUGCAAGUUGCAUGAUUCGUCCAAGCAUAAUUUUGAGGAUUGCAACAUGUUUCGUCAAAUAGUUAAAUCGGCCAUUUAUAAAGGACGAUUAAAAUUUAUUGAAACACCAAGGAAUGACCAGUCUAUUCCGAUUGGUCCUAAUGGGAAAAAGUUUUUGAAUCGGCUGCUUCAAGAUGAUUCCUUUAAAGAUGAGAAGGUAAAAAGUACAGGUGAUGGGAUCAAGCUUUCAAGUAAAGAAGUUGUUCAAGAGCACAAUGAAAAUAUUCUUGAAGGCAUGAGUUCUAUCGAAGAUACAAUGAAGACGCCAAGGAUUGGGGGGCAACAAAGCAAUCCAAAGAUCGAUGCAAGCAAAACAAAAGGAGAUAAAGGCCGCAAUAAGCACAAGCACAAGAAAUCCAAGGUCACUUUUGCACAGUUAUUAGAUAAAUAUCAAAAGAAAAGUGAAGAGAAUGGUGCUUAUCGGCCGAGUAAUGCAAAAACAUCAAGAUCACCCCCUAGGCGCAAAUCCAAGGAUCGGUAUUGGGAAGAAGAGAAUUUUAAUGCAAUGUGUUCAUAUCCUUAUUUUGGGUCGCCAAUGCCAAUGCCGUGGAUGCCUCCCUAUGCUCAUGUAGAUUGAUAUUCAUCAUGGGACAGGUAUGAUACAAUGGCACAUUCUCCAUCAUAUUUUAGGCCAUCUCACCAUUAUUAUGCAGCUCCAAGAAGAUCAACGUUCAGUGAGCUGUCAUAUGUUCAAGACCGUUUCAAUAAGAAAGAAUCAGUCCGGAUCUCAAGAAAGAAGGAAGAGGUGAUCAAACAAGUAUAUCGAGUUAAAAAAGAUGGUCGCAAGAGUGCCAAUUCAGAUUUGAUCUUAAAGGAUAAAGAGCCCAUUAAAGUGUUAAUAUUGGCUACUAAAGGCAAUGAGAUGAAGCAAUCAAUUGUCGAGAAUCAAAGUGCCAAAUCUGAGGAAAAGAAGUUGAAAGUGCAGAAGGUAAAACAAGAAUUGUCAUUAGUUCAAACAAAAUCACAGCCGGGAUGCUCAUUCGGCUUAACGUACUGGCAAAAAAAGAAAUUACAAAAAUUUAGUGCACAAGAGCUCGAAGAGAGAAACAUGGCAUGGGUUCCCAAAGGAAAUAAUCAAAACACGAGUGAUUUGCAAGGUUCCAUUGCAAGAAGUGCGGCAAAGAUAAAGAAGGAAAAGAGUGAAAUUUAUGAACGACCAAGCCGAAGGUUUCAACGUCUUCGGUGCACACAUUAUCCACAUUCUCCAACUAUGCCAUUGAUGCCGAUGACAUGGAAUUCAUCCUCAGUUAUGACUGGUUACCCUCCAUGGACUUAUUUUGAUCCAUGGACGCAAUAUAACUUCUUACAACAUGCAAGGGUUUUACCUCAUCGCCAUACAUUCGAUUAGGUGUAUUUUGUUGCUAAUCAAAGUGGCCGAUAUAUAACUAUCGCCCUAAGCAAAGACAUGGCCGAUAUAUAAUUAUGGCCCUAAGCACAUAUAAAUGGAAGAUGGAGUGUUGACAUCGUCCUUAGAACAAACUCUGGGCAAAUUAUUUUUUGGCAUCCAAGUUUUGCCGAAAAACAGGGGGCAUGUGUUGACACCAGAUUUUGGCACGGUCAAGAACUUAACUAAUAUGGCCUCAAAUAGAGAAGUGAUCUACAUAAAAAAGUUUCGUAUUGUCGAUAUGAACAUCUUUGAAGUUUGGGCCAUCGCCAUACGAUCUCAUCUCGAAGGCCGAAGUUGUGUUCGAAAUACCGAGAGUUUGUAUCCAGAGCACUGUUCGGCCAAUUACCUCCCAAGGGAGGCCUCAAAUGAUAAAACAUUCUACAUGAAUUGUCUUCCUCUCGUUGAAACGGUCGAUUUUGAUAUAAAAUUUUUAUUAAUCUAAGAUCGUAUGUAAAAGUUACAGCCACCUAAGUGCGGCCGUGUCACGGGGCAAAAGUGGCGCGCCCCAUCAGACACGGUGUCUGAUGGGUAGCGCGAGUAACAUGAUUUUUGCGCGAGCGAUUCGGCCCUGAAGAUGGCCUCGAAUCAAACAACGUUCAACCCGGAAGUUGUUCGUCUCGUCGAAACGGUCAAAACUGCUUUUAGGCUCAUCUUCAUCCGAGGUCGUUUGUGGCCUGUGGGACCUAAAAACCAAACUGAUGUUCCAGACUUACCUAAAUCCGAGUUCGGUUAAUUUUGGAAAGAUUUGGACGUGAUUUGGAGUCCUUUUCUUGUACGGGAAGUCCAUCCGCCUCUUAUAUACCUAAGGAGUGACCGCCGAUUGAACAACACACAAUCGAUCAAAUUCAUCUAUCACUUUUUAUCUUUUAUCUUUCUCCUUAACCCUAGUUCUUCUUCUUCUUCUUCUCGUUCUUCGCUCGUUCUUCGUUUGUAGGGCGGCGAUCUACGAGGCCCUAGGGGCGAUCAGGUCGACUUAGGGCAGCCCAUAGCCGCCGCGAGCCCUGACGGGGUCCCUCCCGGGCAAGCGGGGCUUCGGGUCUACAAAAGCGCCCGCCGGAUUGCUUGCGUACCGCGUUUCCGGACGGGUCUCCUUCGACGUGAGCUGCGGUGCAUCACCCCCGGCGUCGACGGUACACAGUGAAGUGUUCGUGUGCGAACACGGUCAUCCACCAUGGAUCGGAUAUGGAGAUUAACCGAUGGAUUAGGAAGCGGAGUGGAUGGAGAGAGUGGAGUGGACUAAGCGGGCUGCGGUCUAGGUUUCAUCGGAGGGGAUAUUUGCGGGGUCGGUGGUGGGCCGGGCUGACGUGGUGGAUGCGCCCGGGCCGCCUCAUAUCCGCUCUACAUUUGGGCUAGAUAUGAGGGGUGCCGGACAGCCGGAGUGUUUGGGGCAGGUUUGAGGCGCCCUGGUGGGUUAGGUUUUUUUGACUGAUCAACUAGUCCGCGCGUGUGGGGACGGUUUGAGGUGCCCGACUGUAGAUACUCUAAGGCCAACGGAGACCGAGGAAGCCUAAUUUUUUUCGGGAGAAAGCAAUACAGGGAAUAGACCAAACCUGACCAACUAGGCCGUGCCUGGCAGGCCGCCCGGCACGUGGCCCGCCUAGGGCCGUGCCUGGGCCUGGAGGCGGGGGCACGCGUGGCCGGCCCGGCACGACCCAUUUAGUUUUUUUAUUUUUAUUUUUAAAAAUUUAAUUUUUUUUAUAGGCUAAUAGGCAGCUCAAUAGGCUAAAUAACAGGUGGGCUGACGGCUAAACAUGCUGAUGGGCCGGCCCGUUUAAUAUUAGUGCCGUGCCCGGGCCUGGUAAGGCAACACGCGUGCCGGCCCGGCACGGCCCGUGUAGUUCGCGUGCCUAGCUGAGCCGUGCCGUGCCAGGCCCGUAUAACCCAUCUGGCGGAUCACCUACCUAUCUCUCUGGAAAAAAGUUGCUCCACUCUCUUUCGGUUCACCCGGACGACACCCUCUCUUGGAAUUCGAAUUCAGGCGAGCCAACGGAGAGAGGCGAGCGCCGCCUCCUCCCCGAGCCCACCACCGGAGCCCUUCCCGAGCGCGAGACCUAGGGUUCAAGCCGCCGCUGCCGGUCCUCCGCCGCGGCGCGCCCAGCCGGCCGAACCCUCCGCGGCCCCGCCUCCCUCCCUGUCCCUGGAGCAGCCGCCCCCGCCCAGCAACGCCGCCGCCGGCGACCAGUCCAUAGGCAGGUAGCCACCACCCCUCCUUCCUCCUUCCUCCUCCCUCACUCCUUCCUAGUAUNNNNNNNNNNNNNNNNNNNNNNNNNNNNNNNNNNNNNNNNNNNNNNNNNNNNNNNNNNNNNNNNNNNNNNNNNNNNNNNNNNNNNNNNNNNNNNNNNNNNNNNNNNNNNNNNNNNNNNNNNNNNNNNNNNNNNNNNNNNNNNNNNNNNNNNNNNNNNNNNNNNNNNNNNNNNNNNNNNNNNNNNNNNNNNNNNNNNNNNNNNNNNNNNNNNNNNNNNNNNNNNNNNNNNNNNNNNNNNNNNNNNNNNNNNNNNNNNNNNNNNNNNNNNNNNNNNNNNNNNNNNNNNNNNNNNNNNNNNNNNNNNNNNNNNNNNNNNNNNNNNNNNNNNNNNNNNNNNNNNNNNNNNNNNNNNNNNNNNNNNNNNNNNNNUCCUGAUUUCUGCAUUGGAUGAGCACCUGCUGUAGAUCUGAUAUUGUCAGAAUAUGAUGAUGAUGGUUAUCUCUUGAUGAGUACUCGCCGCAUGAGUUUUCCCGUGCGUGCUCAAGUCCACUACAUGUGAAAGGAUUUUUGCUUGGCAGGUGUUUGUCGUAAUGCUUGCAGGGGCAAAUGCUGACGAAUUGUAUGUAGUUUGAAUCUUCUUCAGAUGCGCGGAUGUUUUUGUUUCAGCAUGUUAGCAGUAGUGAAUCAUGCAAUGGCUGACCACAUACGGAAAAGGAAAAGAGGUUGAGGAGUUGGUUUACCUGCACCAUCUUGACCUGAAGCCAAAGCUAGCUUGGCUGUACCAUGCAAUUUGAGAGAGCAGGGGCUUUGUCUUGGUUAUACUGCCCGAGACUGGCUAACACAUUAGUACUACUAGUGGUAUUGUUGGCAUAAUAGAUGUCCCAAAUCUUGUUUAUGAUUGGGAAUAUAGUGCUACUGUUGCGCUGUGCUGUUGAUUUUAACAGUCAGACCUAAAAUAUCAGUACAGUUUAAAGUGACUGCUUCUCCUUUUGCAUGUUUGCUGGUUGAUCUUCAGGUUCCACCUUCCGUGUUACGCCAUGAUAGAUGUGCAGCUAGCUAAUGAUUUGAUUUGCUGCUCCAUAUUCAUUUGUACACUUGCUAAAAGUCUAAUUCUACCCCUUUGGAACUUGGGAGUUGGAGCAGGGCAUCAGCAUUGUCGAUUGGAGAGGCUUGGAACUGCUUCGGUAUCCACAGCAGAGCAAACAAGAAGGCAUCAGUUCUAGAAGCUUGCAGAACCCUCACCCGUGCAGAUGGAGAACCGAAAGAAUGCCGGCCUCAGGGUACUGCCACCUAACCCCUUCCCCACUGAUGUACCCUGCCUGUCUCUCCACUCUUUUUGUCUCAUUUUUUCUCCCCUUUUGCGCUACUGCGUUAUUGCACACAGAAGAGGAAGCUUCCGAACGAUGGGACGGUGCAGGAGCAGGAGCCUACUAUCAAGGAGAUGUGCCAAGGUAAAGCUGAGCGAAUUCUGCCUUCUCGGCCGGAGAUGGGUGUUUUUUCUUUAAACAUUUUGUGAUUUGGAUGAUGCAGCCCUGAAAGAGAUGGAAAGUGAGCUCCAGAACCUCCGGGACGACAACAACCAGCUCCGGGAUGAGCUGUAAGAUCUAAUGCUUGUGUCGUGCUUGCUGAUUUGGGCUUGCUUUUAUUUUUUGGGGAGUGAUGGCUGAGACACUGAUUCCUCUUCUUUUUCUUCUUGUUGUUGUUUGAUUCUUUUAUGCCAGCCUUGGCAAAGACCGGCAGCUUGCGGAGACACGAACACUUCUAGUUGACAGGGAGCACAAGCUUUCGAACACGCAGACACUUUUGGUUGACAAGGAGCAGCAGCUUGCGGCCCAGACACUUCUUGUUGGCAGUGAGUUUCCUUGUCUAAAUUUUGAGUUCUUCCCCCUUUACCAUUUGGUCUAAGCUGAUGCUUGGAAUUUUAGAGAAUGGAGAUCGGUGGUGUGUCAGCAUAAAACAUGCAUUUAUGGGGGAUUAAUACAUGUCUUCUUGAAAUAGAGUGCAUUAAUGUGUCCGAUGGAGAGUAUUUUACUGAUUAACAGGUGUCUAUAUCUCAAUUCAAUUUAUCUUUGUUAUGAUCUGAAUUUCAGGCAAGUCACAUAUCUAAGUAUUUGAAUGUUGUAAGCAACUACUUCUCCAGGCUGUGACAUUUCUAUAGGUCAGGCUUAAUUAUUUGAGUAGUUUUUUAGUCUUAAUUGGCUGAUUGCCACAAUUCUUUGAUGUUUAGUUUGCAAAGUAAACACCAAAAGUGCUGAUCGCCUGAGUUGAUUCCCCUUUAUAUGAUAUACUUAUGCUCAAAGAGAGUUGAAAAAUUAGCAACAAACAAGGCAUAUCACAUGAUAUUAGUCAACAAACUGAACAGUUAUUGUGAUACUCCUCACUAUUGUAGUAAUCUAUUCUAAUUGGGCUAUUGUUAUAUCAAAUUGCAACACACAUAUAAUCGGUUAUAUGAGUGUGUUAGCAUGUGGUCGCACCCUAUUGCAGAAGUACACUUUGUGCAGCAAAAAUAAAUGAAUCAUAAUAUCAUAGAUGGGCAACAUGCUAGGAAAGCAUGCAAAAACAUGACCAUUUACGAACUGUUCUCUUGAGUAAGACAAAAACGUUGUACGCAUAUAUAGUUGCUGCAUUAGCCUUUCAUCUCUCUGUCUUUUUUUUGUACAAUAUACACUGCUUUUCAUAAUUUUGAACAACAUUUAGCAAGUGCACAUGUUAUAGCAUAUUACAACCAUGAUUUUUCCCACAUUUAUUGGAAAAUUCAGGGUUCUUGUUCUAGUAGUGAGGUGUGGGUGCAGCGAGUUGUGGAAAAUUCACAUUCGAUGUUUGUCAACUGCCAACUGUACUGGGUUGUGAUACUGGCCGUGUUUAGCUUGAAUCAGUUUGCAAUUAUGUCUCUGAAAAUGUAGGAUUUGAUGAAAUGCUUUUUGUAUGCUUAUAUGCAAGUGAACAGUUGGCAACAAAACCUACGUGCAUCAUGUUAUUUUCUACUUCUAUAAUGUGAUGUUUGGAGAGCUGAUGGUGUUGUAUUUAUCUGCAUGUCUCUAUCGUGGUCCAAAAUAUGCUUCACGUUCUGUUUAGUUCUAAUGAUCAUUAACUGCUUACCCAACAUUUUUACAUUUCCAGUCCUUCAUUACUAGUAUCCUGCAAACAUACAACAGCCUUAACAGGGUAAUGUAAUUCAUGGUUGUUUUAUACCUGGUUAAUAAUCAGGUUCAGGUAUGCCAGAGUGUAAUAACAUCCAACUUGUUUCUCAAAAAAAGAACACACCUUAUGAGGCACAGCAGUCCUUCAUAAAUUCACCUAUACCUUGUAGAUUGCCAACAAAUCUAUUUCUAUCUUUCAUUCCUUUUGGUGAUAACCAAGUUGAUUUAGCUGCAGUUUCAUUUACUCUGUUCUGCUUUUCUUAUGCAGCAAAGGAGUUUGAAACUGAAAUUUUGAGGCUUAAGUGUCUCUUGGCUGAGAAGAAUGACACAAAUAAUUAUGCAGCUCUAGUGUCUCCUGAGACAACAACUGAAUUCAUACAGAAGCAAACUCCAGUUUCACCUGCAAGGACACCAGCGUCAAACAGAACGAAUACAGUCCAGUCCAGUGUGAAAGCCAUUGCCCACCAUGGUAGCUUUCAGCAUGAAGCUAGAGAGGCAAGUUGUUGGAACUACUUUGCUGGUAGUGUAGAAGUAUGCAAGGGUAAAUGAUUAUCUUGAGCUUUAUAUUGUUUGCUAAGCCUUUUUUACUGGCUUGCAUUGAUUCUGUAGCAGGACUGCUGUAGAAGAGGUGUUUGCAGCUCAGGUUAGUGAUAAUGUACGAGUGGAUUGCAGUUUGUGUUUCUUCUCAUGCCUGUAAAUUGGUUUGACUUGUAAGUCUGUUGCUUUCAGGGAGUGGGACAGAUGUAAGUUCUCGUUCUUGUGUGUAUCAUAUGCUGGUUGAAUCUUUAGUUGGCAUGAAGUUUUCACUGAAGGAUGAAGCAGAAGGACUCUCACUUUCAAUCUAUCAUGAAGCUACUGGUACAUGCAAACACCAGUUCUCGCGUUGUUUAUUUUGCUACAGCACAUUAGUAGAACAUGACACUACAGUUAUUUAUGGUUUGCAUUCUACAUUUUGGCAUUGAUAUUUACAUUCUUGCAUGUGAUUUUAUAUGUAACUGGGCAAGCUGGAUAUCUGGAGAGCAGUUGUGUUUAGAGUAGCUGCCUCUGUAACUUGAAAAGUGUCUCUUUAAACUGCAAAAUGUGGUACCUAAAUACACAUUCAGUGACAGCUUGCCUUGUAGCGAGAAUUGUGUACUUCUUUUGUAUCAUAGUCCCUCUUUGAUCCAGCCUUGCAUUUUAAACAGUUUAUACUUGUGUGGACUUUAUUAGAUGCAGGGCCAUGCGCACAAUAUUGUCACACUGACAGACAAUGGCGAGUACCUGACGUUAGAGAAUGGACUCAGAACAGAGUUUAUUCUGACCUUUAGUUGUUACCAGCACAUGUCGUAAUUACGGCUCUGAAAUUUUGAUGUUGAUGGAGUAAAGUAAAGAACAUAAUAUUCUUAUUACUUGUUCACAUGUUGAGGCUAUGUUCCUGUCAGUGAUAGAUAGUCGUAUGUUGAAGUGGCAUGUUACCUCUUAUCUUCCUCAGCAAUAAUUGUGCACUUCUUUUUUUAUUGUAAUUAUGGCUGUGAAAUUUUGAUGAUCAUGGAGUAAAGCCAUAUAAUAUUCUUGUACUUGUUCACGUGUGGAGGCUAUGUUCCUGUCGAUUAGUGAUAGAUAGUAGUAUGUUGAAGUGGCAUGUUACCUCUUGUCUUGCUAUGAUCGACACGUGGCAAUUAUGUUUUCACAUUUUUAUAUUCUGGCGAUAAGCAUGUGCCUUUGUUUGUCAACAGGGAAGUAAGUACCUAGCAUGUGAUGAUUUUGCAUCAGUUUGAUGUUUCAUUGUGCACCACCGAUAGAUUUAUGAGCAUAAAAUAAAAUACUAGUAGCAUACUACUCCCUCCGUUCCAAAAUAUAAGUCUUUUUAGAGAUUUCACUACAAACUACAUACGGAUGUAUAUAGACAUAUUUUAGAGUGUAACUUCACUCAUUUUACUCCGUAUGUAGUCCAUAGUGAAAUCUCUAAAAAGACUUAUAUUUAGGAACGGAGGAAGUAUUAUGUAUGUACUGUACUAUAAAGGUGGUAAUGCAAUCUUAACUGAGAUGUUCAAGUUAUUUAUUGCAGGUUAUGAUUUCAGCCUUACAUGGUUGGAGCAAGCUGAUGGUGGUGAAUGGGCCUACAAAUACUCCUCACUGGGCACCCUGGAGGAGAUGGCUUUGAAGUGGAUGAAAGUGCAGGACAUACGGUUCAGCAUGGAAAUGUUCCCUAUGUUCUUCGAGCGGAUAUCGAGCCUCCUCAGGCGAGGCCGAUGAAUGAUCGCCGUGACUUGAUACUGUAGAGCUCUAGGUAGAUGUGACAUGACUGAAACUGAUUGACUGCUGGCAGGACGAAGUGUCCUUAAUAUCUUGGGAGGGCUGAAGAUGGUUUGGGCCUGUUGCUCUAGCUGCUGAAUCUUGGGACCUGUACUGCAUGGUUAAUGAGCAAGGCAAGACUGUGGCUGAUAUCUGGGAUGGCCAACGGGUUAUGUGCGCUGUUAGGAGGAGCCGUGACGAUGAGUUGAUGCAACCGUGGCAUGAGUUUGAAAGUAUUGCUCGGAUCAUUGUGUUUAUAUGGUGAUGAAGACCGGAUUGUUUGUCAAUAGUAUGUGGCUAGUGAUUGUGUUCUCUUCGAGUAGUUCUCUUUAUAAGAUUAUUAUAUCAGUUUUGGGGGGUCACCCCAUUUCAUUUGCCUGCUGUUUGGAAGAUUAAGGCCCCUCCUGAGAUCCAUUUGUUUGUAUGUUUUUUCGGCUCUUGCUCAGAAUAAAAUCAUGACCAGGAAUGACCUUGGCGACAGAAACAUGAAAAGAAGAAAAGAAAAAAAAAGCUUUUGUAGAGUGUGUUUUGCUGGGAUCUGGUUAGUUAACCAUAUGUUUGAGUGUGUGAUUUCUGAACCUUGUAUGAACUUUGUGGUUUCUUCUUUGUUAUGCAAUGGAACCGUGGAGAGAACCCAUGAGAAAGAAGAAGUUGUUACUUGUUGCAUCUGACGCCAUCUAAAAUCUUGUCAGGAACGGAGGGGUGCAGACAUGCAUUCUUUGGCUCGGAGGGGGUAUUUUUAGUUAUGUAUUCAUCUCUCCUAUUUCCAGAAAAGCAUACUGGCAGUGCCUUCAAUCCAACAAUAGCCAACUCUGUGACGCCGGUCAAAAUUUUGUUCCAUCUUCGGCCGCCUUUGAGUGAGGUUCUACCACCGGCCUCCUUUCAGCCAACCAGUCCUUGAACCAUCUCCCUUAACAUCCAUCUUUCUAAAUUCUUAACUAUCAAAAUCAGCAAGAAAAGAAAAUGACCCCAACGAACUGCAUCUGUCAGGCAAUGCGUAGCAAUAAGAAACAACAAUGCAUGCAUCAUAACCAAGACCAAUCUGUUUGGUCUGAUUGGGGCUAUGUAAAAAGAAGCAAACCAAGACUUGACCCGCUGAGGUCUGUAGCUAAUGCAAUAUAUACCAGUUACAUUACCAAGUGUCACUUUAGCUUGCAGCACACUGAUCGAUACAAUAAAACACUCCACAACUAAGUAAACAACAGCCAGGCACACACAGCACAGCAGCUGUGAACUGUAUGUAAUGCACCGUUUAACAUAAUAAUUGCAUAUAUGGCAAGAUUCAACUGCAUUCCACGACCCAAAGGGCAACCACAGGUUAAAUGCAGCAAACGGCACCACAUCUUAUCGAGAAUAAAUUUUUUUUGCGGGAUCUUAUCGAGAAUAUAGCACAGCUAAAGAAAAGAAAAAAAGUCUUGUGUUUGAGCUGCCUCCCCAAAUCCCGUACCUUAGGCUAACUUUUGCUUCUUCAUCCCUUUGCGACCGCCAUGCCCGAACUUGGAAUCCUUUGACCUAUGAUGGUGGUUUUUUCCUUCCUAGACCGAGGAACCGGACCUUCCUAGCUAGACUGCAACUUCCCAAAGGCCUGCCUCGUGCCAUCCAGAGCCUGGGUGUAGAAGGCGAGCUCGCGCCUAAGAUCGUCGUUCACGUCGACCUUCUCCCCCUGGUCGUGACCGACGGCGAGCUCGUGCGUCCAGUCCACAACAUUCUCUGGCCAGGCCAUGUCCUUGAGCUUCUCAAGGAGCCCCACCUUGUUGUACACGGCCUUCUUUGAAGGUCCAGCCUGCUGCAAUUCUUCUUCCUCUGAACCGUCAUCCUCUCCACGCAGUCCUCGUUGUCAUCCACCAUGGAUUCGUCGUGGACCGAGGGGUCCUCUUCUUUCUCAAGUUGCACCAUUUUCGCUGUAUGCACCAAAGAAAACAUGGUGUUAGGCUGUGUUUGAUAGUAAUAAAGUAUCCCAAAAACAUAAGUGUAAAAAACUACAGCAAUUCAGCCUGCAGGUAUGAAAUACCAUGGGUUUUGACAUAACAGAGCAUUUUGUACUAGUAUUGAUAAUACAGACAGACAACCUGUUUGGCUCUGCCGUUUUCAGCGACUCAAACUUAGCUGGCUAAAACCAUUAGCAGCUGCAACCAGACAUGUUUUUUUUUCCAGUUAGCUAGCCAUUUUAUGCAACUAUCAGGCCAUGCACACGACGUAGAAAUAAUGUAAGAAAUAGCGUGCUGUCCUAGAAUGCACCGAUACGGAUACCUAAAUUCGUCAUUUUUUUUAAAAGUGCCAAUACGGGAUACGUUUGACUAAUUUAAAAACAAUAAUGAUAAAUAGUUAUUUACUAUGCAGUAUGAACAACAACCAAAUUAGUUUGAUGUUUUGAUUUUUUUCCUAAACAUGGCAAAGGCACAGAUUGCAUGUAUUAAAUAUCAUGCAGAAGAAGACCAAAACAGAUAUGCUUGUAGUGUAGGGAGGGGUAGCUGCCCAUUACAUAUAAAUUUAUAUGAGAGAGGGGGGAGGGGAGAGGAGCCGGAGCACCGGAUUAGCCACCACCGGCGAGCUACUGUUGUGCUCGAUCCUGCAUGCCCUCGAGCUUGUGAGCUGCGACACAUACAUCGGUGGCACUGCAGGAGCAUCGGAGCUGAGAGCAUACCUUGGUGCUGCGUCAGAGGGGCUGAGGGUGAGGGGUAUUCCGGGACGAGGACGAGGUUGCUUUCCAUGGGCAAGGAGGAGGAGCUCGUCGGCGUCAUUAUUGUUGUGGAGCUCGAGAGGAACGAUGUUGGGGAACUAGGUUACUGGUUCUGUCCGCGUCAUUAUUUCGUGCCAAGGCGUGAUUCGUGGAGACCCAUAAGCNNNNNNNNNNNNNNNNNNNNNNNNNNNNNNNNNNNNNNNNNNNNNNNNNNNNNNNNNNNNNNNNNNNNNNNNNNNNNNNNNNNNNNNNNNNNNNNNNNNNNNNNNNNNNNNNNNNNNNNNNNNNNNNNNNNNNNNNNNNNNNNNNNNNNNNNNNNNNNNNNNNNNNNNNNNNNNNNNNNNNNNNNNNNNNNNNNNNNNNNNNNNNNNNNNNNNNNNNNNNNNNNNNNNNNNNNNNNNNNNNNNNNNNNNNNNNNNNNNNNNNNNNNNNNNNNNNNNNNNNNNNNNNNNNNNNNNNNNNNNNNNNNNNNNNNNGUCUCCAGGAUUUCGGGGGCCGGUGCGAAAUUUUAAAUGGGGCUCUAGAAUUUUUCGAAAGUACUACAAAUAAAGAAUUAAUAUAGUCAAAUCAUACUUCCAUUUUAUUGUAUAAUAACUUCUAAUAUGUGUUAUUUCAUACAAAUAUGGGUUACUUCAUACAAUAAUUAGAAUUAUAUCAAAUGAGUGCUAAAAGAGGAAAGGCAGCGCUAGAUAACUAAACUGGCUUGCCUUGUCGGCCCUGUGCGGUCGGCCACUUUGGCCUGCCUUGUCGACGGGCCUGAUUAUUAGGCUUGAAUAUCCAAGAUUUCUCAGAGUCAUGCAUAACUUAUCUUCUUUGCCCCCUCAACUAUGAUUAGCCCCCUCAACAAUCUUCAUCAAGCUCCGCCACUGCCCAUAAGGAUCAUAAUCAUAAGGAUUUGUCGGUUGGCUGCGGUGGGUGAAAGCGUUGGUGGCUGCCGUCUGCGCGCCUGCCACCAACGCUUUCACCCACCGCAGCCAACAUUUGUACUCCCAUUCAUUAUCCUUGUCGUCGUAUGUUACUGCUGCAUGCCAUGGGGCGACAAAUAGCCUAAUAAAAGUGCAUUAACAACUGCUUUGAGAGGUUGGCCGCAAGAAAUCGUCAGAUGCUGGAACGGUAUCACUGGUAAGUCUGCAUCUCCUAUAUCAAUUUCUCCUUAUAUUAUAGUGUUAUUUUGCCAAGUGGUAUUCUUGUACCUUUUCUUUUCACUGGUCUGCCAUACUUAUUUGUAAUGCAACAUUCAAACAGGGCUUGCUCUGUUUUUAUCACUUACUACCAUUUAUUUUCAGUUUCUUGCCUUGUGAUGUAAAGUAUAAAAUUGUUCUUGCAUCUGUUGAUGGAUAAUGCUCUGACAACUAGAAGCAGCAGGAGUACAUAUGGACUUGCUCACAACUGCAAGCACGGAACUCAUUUAUCUGCAUGAUAAUUUAGUUUCCUUGUUAACGGUCAUGUACUAAAGAAUCCUCACAGGUUAUGUAUCACUUGCUAUGUGUGUUUGUGGAUAUAAGAGUGGACCAGAAAUUCAUUUUCGCCAUCCUAUUCAGAUGUGGGUUUGUAUUACCGGAUAAGCAUAAUGUUGACUUCAAUUUAAUGCUGCAUAAUUUGUAUAAAUAAAAUUAGUAUUUUUUCUUUGUUUAAUUUCUGGAGUCUUCUGUACUUAUCUAGACUAGAUGACCCGUUGUGCCCCUAGGGGAAGAACCGAAAUUGAGCCAGAAAUUAUUAGCUUAGUAGUAUCAUUUUUGGUGACCAUUAACUAUAUAUUUUUGUUGGGAAUUUCCAUUUUAACACGUGUAGUCUAAAAACUGUUUCAUUCGACGGAGUUUGUUGGUACAAUGAAUUAUCAUAGCUCCUAACAGCGCCAAAGUGUGAACUUGAAAAAUAUAAAUAUAACAACUAGCAUUACAAUUUACAUAACACCACAAGCUUGUGAGGUCCACCAGCUUCUGUACUCUUCAAAAUGCAAGGGGAAAUGAAACAUGGAUUCUAUAUAGCAGCAUUCAUAUACAUGGAUAAGAACACAAGUGUCUUGCAUGAUCCUGGAGCCAACUACCUGCAACUGCAAGUGCUUCUAUGUUUCUUGGUACGCCGUGUUCGUUAGUGUGCGCGCGCGCACCAUAACAUGCAGUGUGUAGAAAUGGAUUUGCCUUUUAUAGGGAUGAAUGUACGUACGGGCAUGUAUAUGAACGUCUGCGUCGGUACUGUGUUCAAAUAGAGGACGGGCUCCAUGUCAAGUGUCGUUGGCAUCUCUGCAGCGCCGCAUGCCCACAUGUCCUUUCUGCUGGUAUUUUUUAUUUUCUUUCGAGAAAGGAGAUUUAUCUAUUAUAAACUAGACCAGUUUGAUCCGCAACGCAGAACUUUACAAUAUCCUUCAGUGUCAGACCUUAACCACACUACCGUUCUAGGGCCAAUUGCGUCCCAUUUUCGUCGGCUCAUGACCAACUACAUCCUGCUCAUGCCUGAUAGCUACGACCUUGAACAUCCUCCCACUAGCAUGUUCAUCACCUCUUGUGCUAUGGUAGCCACAAGAGACAUGUUUACUUACGGCGACACAAUCAUAGCUGCAACAACAGAACUAUCGGUUUCCCGAAUGAAGGGUGGUGUGGUUCCCUCCUAGCAUGCUUCCAUUUCCGCUUCCAUGGCAGUCGUGCUGGUGAACGAACAAAUGGAGGCAAGACGAGAGCACGAUAUGCCUCGUGCUAUCCCUAAGAACCAUGCUCGCACCACCAUUGACUUCAGACUCAGAGUAAGCGCCGUCCACAUUCAGUUUAAACCCGCCUUCAGACGGUAGCUUCCAUUGUUCCAUAGGGGCGACCUUGUGAUACGAUCUUCUGUGGGUUCCUGUGUGAUGGCCAUGGUAGCAGUGACAGCAAGGGCACAUACGAGAGCACACUAAUAUGUCGAUUGCAGAAAGCACACAACCAUAUCGUGCAGUUGAACCACAAUGGAAACAGAGAGCCGGACAAAUCAUUUGCAGCAGCACUGAACAGCUAUUUAGUUAGUACUAUCUUCGUCAGCGAUCUAGAACAAAUCCAAACAAUUCCUUACAAGGACCCAAAUAUGUGAUCCUGAAAAAUUAGGACUAAAUUGACAGUCGAUGUCCCUCGUAUAGUUAUAGGACCACUGAUGUCUCUGUAAAUGGACUUCAUUUCUUACAAGCCAGGUUUAAUCUAUGUACCCGGCACGGCUUAUCAGGCAUAAUAGCACCCCUAACAACAAGGGCAGGUAGAUAUCUGACCCUGUGCUGUGCAUGCAGAUCUAGGCAACUUCAAAGGAAAUUAAAAUUCCACCAGUACCGGCACACAACAUUGUCCUCCUGGCGUGCAAUGACCGGAGUGUACUAGAUGUACAAGAGCAAGCAGAUAAUGUCAUGAGAUUUGCUCCACAUAUAGCGACCGUAGCGAUCAAUUGCGAAAUCUCACCGACUAUCUCUUAGCAGUACAAGAUUGCACAAUUUUAGCGAAUACACUUCUACUCAUACGGAAGGCGGCUUCAUGCAUGGGAACGUGUUUUUCCAACUGCAAUAGGCACAGGUGCCUAAUUUCCAACAAUGGUAGUGUGAUUACGAACGGUACAAAUCCGAGUAAGAACAUGUUUAGAGUCCCCACAAUUAUAAUUUGAUUGCUGCCAAAUGUGCUAGCAACCAGCAACCAGCCCUUGAUUGCUCCUGAGAGCUGCACAAUGUGAUCGGGAACAGAUAACAGGUAGACAAAGCCAUGCUGCACCCCGAUCUGAUCACUUGAUGGCGUAGAAUCACAGGACAAGAAUUAACCGAUGUCAAUUUAACCCGACAUACAGCAACCCGCUACAACCCGUUACAAGUUACAGGACAGCAUAAUAACCACAUAAACACAACAGGCAAGCACUGUCGAACGGAUCUUUGGCAUCUUCAUCAGCAGUCUAGAGCAAAACCCUACCAAUUCCUUAUAUGAACAAGCCUAGCCCAAUCACGAAAGCCAUCAGGUCGAUGUCGACAGUCACACAGCUACAGAACUGAUGGCGUACAACAAUUCGCAACUGACACAAUCCAUCCAUAUAACAUACCACAAUCCGAGACGGCUUGAGAGAAAAAUCAAAGAAACCAUUUGCAAGCAUUGCAUCGGCCAUUUCCACUCAUCAGGGAUCUAUAUGCUGUGGCAAGCAACAACUCAUUGCAUGAACAGGUCGACAAGUGAUAUGCCCCGCAUCGAUCUGUUCAUCGCGGAGAGUAGAACCAUCCACAGGGCAGCAAUUCAACAACAGAUAUAUAGAGAUUGAUCCAUCAUCCAUCCGACACAUCGACCCGCUACGAACGGAAUUACCACACGACGGCAUGAUGAUAUAUUCACAUGAACACAAACAACAGGCAUGGUAAUGGCAUACACACACACACACACAGAGAGACAUACUACUAGUUCAAUUAAUUUAAACAUGGCCGGCCAGCAGAAAAAUCGACAGGAUUUAUUAGUCGGCCACGAGCGACGAGCAGCAGUUCACCAGAUCUAGAGCAGAGGACGCGGACGGGGGGAGGAGUAAGGCGUACGCAAGCGAUGGNNN